ACAGUCCUUGUGACUUCUUUUUUGCAUGUAUAAUCCAUCUGAAUCAAACCUUGCACUUAAAAAUUGAUGUUAGAUGGAUCUGUUAAUUUGAAAGAAUUCUGAAUAAUGACUAUUUCUGUCAUUUUGUGAAACUUGUCUAAGGACUAUUUGUGAAAUUUUACACAAUGAUUAUUUAUGAAAUAUUAUGAUGUUAGUCUCUUACUCUUUUACUUUUAUAUUUUAAGCCCACUUUUUACUCUUUUUUAAUUCAAAUAUCUAUAAAAAAAUUCUCUUAAUUUUUUCACAAUUUUGUUAUUAUACACUUGUAAUGCCCUGUUCCGAAUCGUUUCCUAUGUGAGGGUGGUGACCCAAAGGCCGAGUAUCAUUAGGCUUAGGGCCAUUGAGGAAAAUAUAUUUAGACCCAUUCGGGUGUGGGUAAUGUAAUUUGGAUAAUCGGGGAGUUCAGUAUGUGUUUUGGCGCCAAGGGUUAUUUUGGUAAAGUGUCACUUUCGGGCUUUUAUGAAUUUUGGAUUUUUGUUUGAAAAGUUUUAAGGCAUGGAUAAGUCGAUAGAAGUGUAGAGCUUAUCAUUACCUUUCCGUGGAUAUAAAGAACGUCAAAAUCAGAGUUAGAGGGAAGAAGUUAUUUUCGUUUGAAGUUUAAGUGGUUUUGGGCCAAGUUGAGUAUGAUGGGUGUGCAAGGAGGUGUACGUUGGGCAUACUUAGGGAAUUAUGAGUAUGCUGGGAGUACCAGGAGUACGCAGGGUGUGACAACCCGUAAUUUAUUCCAUCACUGUAAGCCGUUCCCGUUAAUAAAACCGCUUGUAUUCCAAUUUUUCCGUUAACUUUUGGGUUAAGUUAAUGAAAUUGAGACCUUUAUUAUGAUCUCGUGAGUGUCCAAACCCAUUUGAAACACAUGAAAACACCCCAAUUUUUAAUUGGAAAAUUUUUAGUUUCGACACGUCGGGUUACGACAACUAAAUAGGGUACGACCAUAAGCCUCGUUUAACGUCAGUAUCGGGUAGAUUUCCACCGAGCCUCAAACUCAAACCCUAUAUAAGGGUGAGUGGACUUCAUUGAAGCUUUCUCUCUCUCUCUCUCUCUCUCACUCUCUCUCUCUCUCUCGCUCUACUCUCUCUCUUCAAUCCAAACUUUGAUCCAAAAAUCACCCAUUUCAAGCUCCAAAUCGGUAAGUAAUCCAUCCUAGCGUAUAGUUUAGAUUGUUUAGCUUACAAAUCCAUGUCUAAAUCAUCCAAAAAGACCAAAGACUUACGUUUACGGCCCUAGAACAGCCCCAAACCAUAAACACACUUAAAUGGGGUUUUGGAGCCCCAAAACCCUUCCAAACCACUUCUAGAGCUUAGUUAUGACUUAGGGGCUUACAUGAAUGGACUUAGAACACCAAAACCUUAAUAUUUAGGGAGUAAACAUGAGUCUACGGCCUAAGAGCAUGUUUGGACCGUAAACACCCCUUCUAAAGCCGUAAACACCAUUUAAGGUGUUAGGAUGCCCCUUAAACACCUCUUAUGCCUUGGAAUAAAGUCUAGAACCAACCACCAUUGUGUUAGGGACCUUAAACAUGAGAGAAACCACCUCCUUAGGAGAUUACGACCGUAAACCCCCCAAGGAAUGGUUCCUGGGCUGUAAACUCCUAUAAAGUGGUCAAAUGGUGCCCCAACUUCCUUCCAUGGCUUGUACUUUGGACCAGAACCACUUGUGUUUAACCUAGGACCACCAAAACACAAAAGAAAAGGGUAAGUAAGAGUUUACGGCUGUAAACUCUAUGUUUACUACCGUAAACUCCCCAUAAUGGUCCAUUUGAUGGUUUAAUCCCUUCUAAUGCCUUAGAAUUGAUCCUAGCCUAAUUCCACAAGUGUUAUAAGACCAUUAAGCAUCCAAGAACACACCACCCAUGAGUUUACGGCCGUAAACUCAUGGGGAUAUGGUCAUUAGGCCAUAAUCUCCCUUAAGAGUUUACUCUUGAAGAGCAAACUCCAUAUCUAGGCCUUACACCUCCUUAGAUGCAACCCGUACCAGUCCUAACACUUGAAUUGAAGUGUUUUUGCGCAUCGGACUGUAUAUUCUUAUUUAAUUAGUAGUUCAAGGUCUAAUUAGAUACAUUUAUGUAUCUCUUCAUAUUACAUAGGAACCUCACGUGUGUUCAAGCCCUGAACUGACACUUAGCAUCCUAGCCGACAUAUUUCUCGUCUGGUGAGUUCAUACCCCUACACCUUUUUCCGUGUUUUUCAAUGUUUUNNNNNNNNNNNNNNGGGGGGGGGGGGGGGGGAAUACAAGAAACAGUACAAGGAAAUCUUGUACUCAACUUAUUAUUUCAUUUGAAAAGUUUUCAUAUUCCGUAUGCUUUUAACACUGGAAGCCGUAUUAAACAACCGUUUGACUUGCAGAGUUAGUUUUCAAACUAAUUGCGAAACUUAUUAUAAAAUGUUAUAUUUUUUAUCUCACAAAUGAUUUUCCUUAUUUAUUUGCUGUUAAAAUCAUUAUUCUUAGAAAUUUAGACACGUCCUCUUUAACACUCCACAUAGAUACGCGAGUGGAGGACCACCUUUGUAACUAGAAUCUAAAACAGGAUUUUCCGCAUUAUUACUUGUAAAUUUGUUAUUCUUAAGAUUGGAGACACGUCCUAUGUAACACUCCACAGAGAUACGCGAGUGGAGGAGCGCCCCUAUAACCAGAAUCUCUUAGAAAGAUAGCGUGACUUGAGUGUAUAGAUCUAUACGGGGCUGACUACCCCGCACCUUGCUGCUAGCUCCAGUGGGACCGACAGGUCUACGGGUGACAAAAGUUGUGAAUGAUAUUGGCCUUCCUUUGCCAUAUCUAGUUUAUCGUAUGGUUAUAGAACUCGCAAACUUAGAUAAUAGAGAUUUGCUUUAAGUAAUAAAGAACUUAGUAAAUUAAUAACCUUAGAAAUUAGUUUACUAUUUUGAUAGUUUUAUAUACGUGUUAAAACUAACGUACUUUUCAAAGAUAAACAGGCUUUCAAGAAACUUCACACAAACACUACAAGUAUGGUAGAUUCAUGUACACUUCAUUCAGAUUCGGUAACCAACCACAAACUUUUAAGGAAAAUAAGGGUUUUUCCUGGGAUAACAAACUGUUUUUAACCAAACUGUGUAACAAAUGGAUAAAAAAACUUUACAUAUAAGAAAAUAUGGGAUUUUCUUGGAUAUCAACUUUUUUAGAAAACCAAAGAAAACUUGUUCUUUUACAGAAACAAACCGCUUAUGAACUCACCAGCUUUAUGCUGAUAUUUUAAAACUGCUUGUAUUCUCUGGUCAACAUUAGACAGGUAUCUCGCUUUCUUUUACAGAAGACGGAGGAUAUGGAAGUCAGUCUUUACUUUUUUUAAACUAAUGUAUCUAUAAAACAUGUAUUACUUUGCUUUCAAACAAAUGUAAUGAUUCCAAUGUAAUGUAAUGUUUUGUGUUUACUAUGCUUACUAUGUACAUUGGUUGUGAUACUUUACAUGAUGUCCUCCGCCCCGGAACGUUUCCACCAUCGGUUUCGGGGUGUGAAAGAUUGGUAUCAGAGCCCUUCUUUAUAGUGAACUAAGUAUACCAGACCUUACAUGGUAUAAGACUAUAAACACUAAGGGGCCGAAGUGCUCUGAACUAUAAGUAUUCUUUAAAAUAUAAGUAUUUUUCAAAAGUAUACAAGAAUACCUAAACGUUAGAAACCGUAACUACGAGUAGAACAAAAUAUAACUAAUUGGGUGUUGUACGCUGCGGUUAAACCUGGGCAGUUAUGUAGUCGUGUCUAGGGUCAAGAUAGCCUGAUCAACUAUAUUCAUUCGAGACACGACCAACAUGUGCUUAGGAGUGACUGUGGUGUGUAGCAUGCCUAAAACUUACCAAAUAUCCAAACAAGGAGUCAUCGUUGCUGCGAAACAUAAAAUACUAUAGGAGUAUUUUAGGCAAAGCCGAAUUCAUUGUAGAAAUUCGUUCCAAGUGUUGCUACUCAUUCUUUCUUUAGCGAUAAAUUCCCUUGUUUUGGUAGUUUUCCUAUAUAUUAUUGCUUAGUAGAACACUUUAUCUGUCAUAAUGAGAUAUCUCUUGUUUCAAAUCUCAUUAUUCGAUUCAGAGGAUUUACCAUCCUCUUUUUCCUAAUCAUUUUAGAUCAAUAUGCCUCCAAAGAAAGGACCCAGCUCAAGGAACAACAACCUACCGCCACCUCAUCCUUCUCAAUUCGACCCUGUCUUAUUUCAGGCAGCUGUUACUGCCGCAGUGACGGCUGCAAUGGCGCACUUGAACCUCGACAGGUUUGGCGGACCAGGAAGUAACACCUAUCCCCAAAAUCAUGAAGGUGAUCUGGGGCACCAGAAUGAGUGUAGUGAGAGUAAGAAGUUAUUAUGGAAAAAGCGAAAGGGUCAGAGUUCGCAAGGACCCUCCAAGAAGCACAAAACUAUGGCAGUCCAAGCUGCUACUACUCCUAUUGCUGCGUCUACAGCUUAAUCACCUACCAAUAGGUAUGAUGGUAACCUCCCUUGGUGCAACAGGUGCAGUUACCACCAUCGUAUCCCUGGCCCAUGUCGUGAGUUGAUCUGCAACAUCUAUAGCGAAAAGGGCCACACUGCUUGAAACUGCAAAACACCAGCCCAACCAAUCAAUCAAGCUUCAGGAGUGGGUAUCGAUCAGGCCUGCUACAUGUGUAGUGAAGUCGGGCAUUUCAAGCAAAACUGCCCAAAAGCAACAACAACCAACAACACCGGGAUAAUUCUAACAAUAAAUCAGGAGGAGGCAGUCAUUGAGCCCGUCGUUGUCACAGGUAUGUUGCUCCUCGACAACUCUUAUGCUAGUAUCCUUUUCGAUUUUGGUGCUGAGCGUAGUUUUGUUAGCCAUUCAUUCAAACGUCUCCUUAAACAUAAUCCCAAACCAUUAACCGAAACGUUUAUCGUUGAGAUGGGUAACGGUGAGAAAGAGAACGCUAACGAUAUAUUCAUAGGUUGUACCCUUACCCUGAAUGAUCAUUCCUUUCUUAUUGACCUAAUGCCAGUUUCCAAAAAGAGCUUUGAUGUUAUUAUUGGCAUGGAUUGGCUGAGUCCCAAUCAUGCUGAUAUCCUUUGUUACGAGAAAGCCAUCCGUCUCAAUCUCCCCUCUGGCCAGACUCUCAUGAUCUAUGGCGAUAAAAUCAGUCCCAACCUUCGCAUCAUUUCAUGCAUCAAAGCCUAAAAGCUUCUGCGAAUGGAGUGCCAUACAUUCCUACCCCAUGUGAUAAACGAGAAACAGGAAGUUAAAGACCUCGAGAGCGUCCCCGAAGUCUGCAACUUUCCUGAUGUCUUUCUUGAAGAGCUCCCGGGAAUUCCUCCUGAACGUCAAGUCUAGUUUCGCAUCAACCUAAUUCCUGGAGCAAAUCCUGUAGCCAAGUCUCCGUAUCGCUUAGCUCCAGCAGAAAUGCAGGAGUUAUCCAGUCAGCUUAAUGAGCUGUUCUACAAAGGGUUCAUCAAACCGAGUUCCUCACCCUGGGGAGCCCCGGUAUUAUUUGUGACAUCCCCAAAAUCUCGGCCAGAAAAGACCGAUUUUCAUUUAUGCUUUUAAAAUAUUUUCAGAGUAAAUCCUUUUGAUUUGAAAGAGUUGCGGAAUUUGUUCCCAAAAACAAAACAUGAUAAAAAAUGUUUACCGAAGCCAUUUCAUAAAAGAAAUGUAUUUUCAUUAUAAUCAAAACUCGGGGUGUCAUGUUCCGAUACAGACCAAUAAGCAUAAACGAAUACAUUACAAGUCAUAUAACAAAUAUAAACAUAUGCAGACUUGUAAACAAAAACAACUUGAUGGUUCAUCCAUUUCAUGCCCUUGCGCCACUGCCUGUAAUACAAUUAUAACUGAGUGGGUCAGGCUUGGGAGCCUGGUGAGCAUAUAGGGUUUUCAACCCACAAUAAAUAAUCAUCUUUAAUUUUCACCAACCAACAAUAACCCAAUUACCCAUUCCCGUUAUUCUCACUUUAAUGUCCCUAAAACAACUAACAUAAGGGACCUAGUCUAAGAAUAUUUCAUCGGGGCGACAACACAUGCUUCGGGGGUACCUCAGCAAUAUAAGUCAAAUAAGGCAACCAUGAGGGGGAUGGAGUACAGCGAAUGAACACCCAAGUUCAUUAACACCUACAGGUGGCGAACCUGCUAAUGUUUCCACAAGACUGUCUAGAAUAGCCAGUGGUCGUCAUCUAAACUCCGCUAGAUGACUCAAUCAAACAACAACGAGGCCUCUCAUCUGUUUAUUACACACCAACUGUCUACCCAUGUUCUACCCAACAUAUUAGUAGAUAAAAAUAUACAUUUGUAUACAUAGUUUAAAGAAAACCUGUAUAGCAUGCUUUAAUCAACACAUAUAUCACAUAACAGAUGAGGCACACACACACAUAACACAUAUCUCAUAAAGAAAUAAGCAGAUCUAUAAGAUAGAAGAGAGUGAAUACUCAUUCACACAUAACACAACCAAAUAUAUACACAUAGCACGUAUUUUUAUAUAAAAUACUUCGUAUUAUUGUAUUAGAAGAAAUAACUACACACUCACUUGAUCAGAAGAUGAUCGGACAGCACUACGGCUUAUAGAAGUAGUAAUCCACAGCAGAUCUGGAAGAUCUUCUCGAAAAUCGAACUUCUCGCGGGCAGAGCUUCGACUCGGGAACCGCACUUUUCGGGAUCUUCAGGAUCUCGGGACUUGCCUCGGGGCUAGAGUAUGAUACCGGGACUUCGGGGUAGCUUCGGGGGUUUUUGCACAGAGCUUCGACACGAAAACGAGAGGGAAUUGGCAAAAAUACCCGGAACCCUCGCAUCCUAUUUAUAGGAGGCUGGAGCCUCGGAGUACGCGGGGCGUACUGCGUUACGCGGGGCGUACUGCCCAAAACGUCAUUGCUUACGUAUCCGAAGUGCUCGAGUGCGAGUGUCGACAUCCCUCGGAGUACGCGGGGCGUACUCGAGUACGCGGGGCGUACCUCGGAUCAGAUCGGUGACUCCUUCGGAUAAUGCUUCCGAAUUUUGAUUUAAAUAUAAAUACAAAAUGAUUAAUAAACUUCGGAAAUUCAUAACUUCUUCAUACGAACUCCGUUUUCGACGUUCUUUAUAUCCACGCGAAGGUGAGACCAUGCUCUACGACUUUCGUUUAGACUCCGUCGGCUAAUUUUGACUUUAUUUUUAUUAAUUAUUUUUAAUAGGCCGGGACAGAAACUUUCGUUAUAAAUUCAUAACUUCUUCGUUUGACGUCCGUUCUCGCCUAACUUUUUAUCGUUUCAAUACCAACAAUGAGAUCUUCGAUUCUCAUUUAGAUUGCUUCGGCUAACAACCGCUCGAUCUCAAAUCGAGUAAAACAGGCUGUAUACCGCUAAGCCGAAACUUCGAUAAAUCAUAACUUCCUCAUACGAAGUCAGAUUUGGGCGUUCUAUAUAUAUUCGGAAACCUUGUUUCAACUACUACAACAUAAAUCAAAGAUAUUAAGUUUAUUUUACACUUAAAUUUUGACGCUUAUUUUUAUUCUUAAUUAAUCAAACCACAUAAUUAAGCAAUUAAGCACAAAACACAUAAUACUCAAAUAAUACAAUCUUAUUAUUUCAAAACGGGUUACAAAGGUUAACCUAGACUAUUACAUUGCUAAAAAUGGCAAGCCCGGAAACACAGGCGUUACAAUUCUCUCCACCUUAGAAUGAUUCCGUCCCCGGAAUCACACAUCAACAAACAAAUGCGGAUAGCGACUCAACAUGUCACUCUCCGUCUCCCAGGUGAGAUUCGGCCCAUUCGUGUGUUUCCAUCGGACAAGCACUAACCCAAUCAUUUUGCGUCACAACUUCUUAGUCUUUUGGUCCACAAUUGCCUUUGGUUCUUCAAUGAACCUUUUGUUCUCAUCAAUUCUCAAUUCAGAAAUUGGAAUUAUAUCGGGAACUUCUCCCGUGAACUUCCUCAAAUAACACACAUGAAAGGUGUUGUGAAUUCCAUUCAGUUCUUCGGGUAAUUCGAGCUUGUAAGCUUGAUUCCCAAUCCUCUGAAGGACUUUAAACGGUCCAAUAAACCUUGGACUCAACUUUCCCCUUUUACCAAAUCUUAUAAGUCCCUUCCACGGCGAGACUUUAAGCAAAACCGAAUCUCCAACCUCAAAAGUCAUCGGUCUUCGCUUCUUGUCAGCAUAGCUCUUUUGACGAUCUUGAGCUGCUAACAUUCUUUCCCUAAUUAUUUUCAACUUUUCAGCAGUUUGAUGAACCAUCUCCGGUCCCAUAAACUGCUUUUCCCCAGCCUCAAGCCAACAAGACGGCGUACGACACUUCUGUCCAUACAAAGCUUGAUAAGGUGCCAUCUUAAUGCUCGAGUGAAAACUAUUAUUAUAGGAAAAUUCUACCAACGGUAAAUGUUCAUCCCAAUUACCUAGGAAUUCCAAGGUACAUGCUCUCAGCAUAUCUUCAAGUGUUUGUAUUGUUCUUUCACUCUGACCAUCAGUCUGCGGAUGGUAAGCUGUGCUUAAACAUAACUUGGUACCCAUUUCCUCUUGUAGACUUUUCCAAAACCUUGAGGUGAAACGGCUAUCACGAUCCGAUACAAUCGUUAACGGAACACCGUGAAGCCUCACAAUUUCCUUCACGUAAGAAUUCGCAAGCUUUUCCAUAGACCAUUUCUCCCUGGCCGCUAUGAAAUGCGCACUCUUAGUGAAUCGAUCAACGACCACCCAAAUCAUGUCGUGACCAUUCUUUGUUCUGGGCAGUUUAGUGACAAAAUCCAUAGCAAUGUCUUCCCACUUACCCAUAGGCACAGGCAAUGGUUCUAAACUCCCGUAAGGUUUCUGAUGUUGUGUCUUGACUCUCGCACAAGUCACACACUCGGCCACAUACUUUGCAACAUCAAGCUUCAUCGUCGGCCACCAGUAGUAGGGUUUCAGGUCCCUAUACAUUUUAGUGCUACCCGGAUGAAUUGAGUACAUGGUUUUGUGAGCUUCUUCCAUCAGAAGAUCCCUAAUUCCUCCUGACUUAGGUACCCAAAUACGAUCUUGGAAUACCUUCAGUCCAUGACCGUUAGUACCAAACACCAACGUUUUACCCAAACGUUCCUCCUUUCGGUCAUUUUUCUCAGAAGCUUCCUCUUGAGCUUUCUUUAUACUUUCCACAAUAGUCGAGACAACUUCAAUUCUCAACGCUCUUGGCCUCUUCCUUUCAAGAUUGACUUUCCGACUGAGAGCAUCAGCAACAACAUUAGCUUUACCGGGGUGGUAAAGUAUCUCGCAGUCGUAGUCUUUAAGUAAUUCUAGCCAGCGUCGUUGCCUCAUAUUCAAUUCUUUCUGAUUAAAGAGGUAUUGGAGACUCUUAUGAUCAGUGAAAAGUUUGCACUUCGUGCCAUAGAGGUAAUGCCUCCAUAUUUUCAGAGCGAAAACUACCGCUGCCAACUCCAAAUCAUGAGUCGGGUAAUUCUUUUCAUGCUCUUUCAGCUGUCGAGACGCAUAUGCUAUCACCUUUUCUCUUUGGGUCAAAACACAACCCAAUCCAACACCAGACGCAUCGCUAUAAACAGCGAAGUCUUCAACUCCAUCGGGUAGAGAAAGUAUCGGUGCCUCGCAUAGCUUCUUCUUUAACUUCUCGAAUGCUUCUUUAUGCUUCUCACUCCAAGCAUAAGUAGCUCCUUUGUGGGUCAAAGCUGUUAAUGGAGUAGCAAUCGAAGAAAAGCCUUGGAUAAACCUUCGGUAAUAUCCGGCUAAUCCUAAAAAGCUUCGAAUCUCCGUGGGACUUUUCGGUUGUUCCCACUUCGUCACAGCUUCGAUCUUCGCUGGAUCAACCAUUAUCCCUUCUUGGUUGACCACGUGACCCAAGAAUUGGACCUCACGAAUCCAAAAAUCACAUUUGGAGAACUUCGCAUAAAGCUUCUCCUUCUUCAAAACUUCUAACACUUCUCGCAAGUGUCUGCCAUGCUCCUCCUGGCUUUUCGAGUAGAUCAGAAUGUCGUCUAUGAACACUAUCACGGAUUUAUCAAGGAAAGGAUUACAAACCCUAUUCAUCAAAUCCAUGAACGCUGCUGGAGCAUUGGUUAGUCCAAACGACAUAACCAAGAACUCGUAGUGUCCAUAUCUAGUUCUGAAUGCAGUCUUCUCGAUAUCUUGCUCUCUUACUUUCAGCUGAUGAUAUCCUGACCUAAGAUCGAUCUUCGAGAAAUAGCUCGAACCUUGCAAUUGAUCAAACAGGUCAUCAAUCCUCGGCAACGGAUAUCUAUUCUUUAUUGUUGCCUUGUUCAGCUCUCUGUAAUCGAUGCACAUUCUCAUACUUCCAUCUUUCUUCUUUACAAAUAACACCGGAGCUCCCCAGGGCGAUGAACUAGGUCUAAUGAAACCUUUGUCCAAUAACUCCUGAAGUUGCAUCAUCAGCUCCUUCAUCUCCGUCGGUGCUAAUCGAUAAGGUGCUUUUGCUAUUGGCGUGGUUCCUGGUAACAAGUCUAUUCUGAACUCCACUUGUCUAUCAGGUGGUAAUCCAGGAAGAUCCUCGGGGAACACUUCCGGAAAAUCACACACCACUGGAAUGCUCUGCAUCACCUUCUUUUCCUUCUUAGCAUCAAUCACAAAUGCUAAAUAUGAUGUACAUCCCUUGGUCAAACACUUUCUGGCUUUCAUUAGAGAAAUGAUUCCAGAAUUCACUCUGCGUUUGUCCCCAUACACCAUAAACGAAUCUUUCCCAGGCGGGUUUACUUUAACUAUCUUCUUCUUGCACAAAAUUUCGGCAUCAUUGGCGCUAAGCCAAUCCAUUCCCAAGACGAUGUCGAAACCAUUAAGUUCGAUAGGCAAUAAUUCCUCGUGAAACUUAUUCCCAUUAAGGUCGAUUAAGAUGUUUUUCAUACGAUGGCUAACAGGUACAAACUUGCCACUAGCUACUUCGACUAAUAAAGCAUUAUCUAGUCUAUCAAUAGGCAAAGCUAGCUUUCUACCAAACUCAUGCGAAAUAAAGGAGUAGUUGGCUCCAGAAUCAAACAAUAUAUGAGCAGGUAAUUCGUUUACGAGAAAGGUACCUGAAGCGACAUCAGCUUCAUCUUUCGCAGCCUCAAGUGUCAUCUGGAAGGCUCUCGCCUUCGGCUUUGGUGGAAUGUUGGGCCUAGCUGCCUCCUUCUUCUUCGGAUAGUCUUUCAAAAUAUGCCCCUCUUCAUUACGCCCAAAACACAUCCUUUUGUUGUUCGUACAUUCAUUGGCAAAAUGUCCGACCAUUCCAUACUUGUAGCAGGUUAUAUCCUCGCUACAUUUCCCAAAUUGUUUUUUCUUACACUUAUCACACCACUUCGCUUUGCCUUUCCUCCAACCAAACUUUUUCGAAUCAGAUUUCGAAAAUUUUCCUUUCUUACCGGAACCAGAUGUUCCCUCAAACUUUCUUUUCUCACCAACAUCAACCUUGUCGGUGGUUCUCCCCUUGAUCAUGUUCUCCACAGACUUGGCAGCCCAGAUAGCUGCCUCUAGAGUAAGUGCCUGACGUACUGGCACCUCGUACUCCCAUGGAAGUCCCUUCGCAUACCGAUCCACCUUUGUCAGCUCGUCUGGAACGAUACGCAAGGCAAACUCCAUCUUAUCGGUGAAGUUAUUGGUGUAUUCAUCAACUGACAUGCUGCCCUUCGUCAAUGUCAGAAACUUGUUCUCCAACUCCAACAGAUUUUGAGCCGAGCAGAACUUGCGCUUGAACUGCACCAAGAACUCUGCCCAUGACAAUUGCAGUGGCUCAUUAGGGCUUAAGGUCUUCCCUAGAGUGUUCCACCAACGAACGGCUCCACCUCGGAAUUGACGCACGGCAUAGAUAGUCUGCAACUUACCUCUGCAGCCACACGUCAUGAAGGCUAGCUCCAUUUCGGAGAUCCAAUCCAUAACCCCAAUCGGAUCCUCCUUUCCAUUGAAGGUCGAUGGUUUACAAGUCAAAAAGUCCUUGUACUUGCAUCCCAUUCCAUCAUUCCUUCCAUCAUGGUUAUCUUGCCUAACUAUCGGUGGGUUGGCUGGACCAACAGACCCACUGAAGUUUCCACCUUCCGAGUGCCCUUCAUUCAGUUCAGGCUCUUCCACACGAAUCGACAGUUCUUCACGAUUUUGUUGAAGCAACCGUCUAGUUUCAUCCAUCUGACGAUCCAACAUCGUCUGAAUCAUCAAUUGCACACCAGCCAUGGUUAUUGGCUCAGGUGCUGCUGCUACGACAGGUAUUGGCUCAAUCACUGGUGGUUGAUUCCUGUUUUCGUCAGCAUUUCCAACUCCACUUCUUGUUCUCACCAUUUUGAUCUACACCGAAUAAGGUGAAAUUAGAUCCUCAAUCAUGAUAGAUAUUCAAAUCAUCCUUAUCACUCCGAAACGUUUACAUGCUAGUUCUAAUAUCGUAGACGUACGCUUAGAAUCCUACACACAUAAGGUUUCUAGAUCCGGUCGGCAACAGACCAUAGAUCCGAACAAAUAAUAUCAUAUAUGGCAACAUAUAACAUUUAGCACAUAAAGCAUUUUAGGCAACUUUCCUAAAAUAAACUAGUGCUCGUGUCUAAAACACAACAGACACGCAUCUCAAAACUUCACUUAGCAUUCUAAGUUUAAGUCUAGAAAUCCUACAAAUUCCUAGUUCGCUUAAACUAAUGCUCUGAUACCAACUGUGACAUCCCCAAAAUCUCGGCCAGAAAAGACCGAUUUUCAUUUAUGCUUUUAAAUAUUUUCAGAGUAAAUCCUUUUGAUUUGAAAGAGUUGCGGAAUUUGUUCCCAAAAACAAAACAUGAUAAAACAUUGUUUACCGAAGCAUUUCAUAAAAGAAAUGUAUUUUCAUUAUAAUCAAAACUCGGGGUGUCAUGUUCCGAUACAGACCAAUAAGCAUAAACGAAUACAUUACAAGUCAUAUAACAAAUAUAAACAUAUGCAGACUUGUAAACAAAACAACUUGAUGGUUCAUCCAUCUCAUGCCCUUCCGCCACUACCUGUAAUACAAUUUAAAACUGAGUGGGUCAGGCUUGGGAGCCUGGUGAGCAUAUAGGGUUUUCAACCCACAAUAAAUAUCAUAUUUAAUUUUCACCAACCAACAAUAACCCAAUUACCCAUUCCCGUUAUUCUCACUUUAAUGUCCCUAAAACAACUAACAUAAGGGACCUAGUCUAAGAAUAUUUCAUCGGGGCGACAACACAUGCUUCGGGGGUACCUCAGCAAUAUAAGUCAAAUAAGGCAACCAUGAGGGGGAUGGAGUACAGCGAAUGAACACCCAAGUUCAUUAACACCUACAGGUGGCGAACCUGCUAAUGUUUCCACAAGACUGUCUAGAAUAGCCAGUGGUCGUCAUCUAAACUCCGCUAGAUGACUCAAUCAAACAACAACGAGGCCUCUCAUCUGUUUAUUACACACCAACUGUCUACCCAUGUUCUACCCAACAUAUUAGUAGAUAAAAAUAUACAUUUGUAUACAUAGUUUAAAGAAAACCUGUAUAGCAUGCUUUAAUCAACACAUAUAUCACAUAACAGAUGAGGCACACACACACAUAACACAUAUCUCAUAAAGAAAUAAGCAGAUCUAUAAGAUAGAAGAGAGUGAAUACUCAUUCACACAUAACACAACCAAAUAUAUACACAUAGCACGUAUUUUUAUAUAAAAUACUUCGUAUUAUUGUAUUAGAAGAAAUAACUACACACUCACUUGAUCAGAAGAUGAUCGGACAGCACUACGGCUUAUAGAAGUAGUAAUCCACAGCAGAUCUGGAAGAUCUUCUCGAAAAUCGAACUUCUCGCGGGCAGAGCUUCGACUCGGGAACCGCACUUUUCGGGAUCUUCGGGAUCUCGGGACUUGCCUCGGGGCUAGAGUAUGAUACCGGGACUUCGGGGUAGCUUCGGGGGUUUUUGCACAGAGCUUCGACACGAAAACGAGAGGGAAUUGGCAAAAAUACCCGGAACCCUCGCAUCCUAUUUAUAGGAGGCUGGAGCCUCGGAGUAUGCGGGGCGUACUGCAGUACGCGGUGCGUACUGCUUCCGAAAUCGUCAUUGCAUGUGUCAUCCGAGCCACUUGCUGCGAGUGUCGACACCUUCGGAGUACGCGGGGUGUACACGAGUACGCAGGGCGUACCUCGGAUCAGACCGGUGACUCCUUCGGAUAAUGCUUCCGAAGUUCCAAUUAAAUUUAAUUACAAAAUAUUUAAUAAACUAUGGAAAUUCAUAUCUUCUUCAUACGAACUCCGUUUUCGACGUUCUUUAUAUCCACGGAAAGGUGAGACUACGCUCUACAACUUUCGUUUAGACUUCGUCGGCUAAUUUUGACUUUAUUUUUAUUAUUUAUUUUUAAUAGGCCGCGACAGCAAAACUUCGUUAUAAAUUCAUAACUUCUUCGUUUGACGUCCGUUCUCACCUAACUUUUUAUCGCUUCGAUACCAACAAUGAGAUCUUCUAUUCUCAUUUAGAUUGCUUCGGCUAAAAACCCCUCGGUCUCCAAUCGAGUAAAACAGGCUGCAUACCGCUAAGCCGAAACUUCGAUAAAUCAUAACUUUCUCAUACGAAGUCAGAUUUGGGCGUUCUAUAUAUUCAGAAACCUCGUUUCAACUACUACAACAUAAAUCAAAGAUAUUAAGUUUAUUUUACACUUAAAUUUUGAUGCUUAUUUUUAUUCUUAAUUAAUCAAACCACAUAAUUAAGCAAUUAAGCACAAAACACGUAAUACUCAAAUAAUACAAUCUUAUUAUUUCAAAACGGGUUACAAAGGUUAACCUAGACUAUUACAUUGCUAAAAGUGGCAAGCCCGGAAACACAGGCGUUACAUUAUUUGUGUAGAAGAAAGAUGGAUCCUUUCAGAUGUGCAUAGACUACCGCGAGUUGAACAAAUUGACUGUCAAAAACCGUUAUCAUCUUCCUAGAAUAGAUGACGUUUUCGAUCAACUUCAGGGAGCCAGUUACUUCUCGAAGAUAGACCUUAGAUCAGGGUACCAUCAGCUUUGAGUUUACAAGAAUGAUGUUUCCAAGACAGCAUUCAGGACUUGAUAUGGUCACUACGAGUUCGUAGUGAUGCCCUUCGGUCCAACCACUUUCCUUGGUUACAUGGUAAGCGAGGAGGGUAUACAUGUGGACCUGUCAAAAAUCAAGGCGAUAGAGAAUUGGUCGGCACCGAAGACACCCACAGAACUCCGUCAAUUCUUGGGUCUCGUCAGCUACUAUCAUAGAUUCAUUCAGAAUUUUUCCAAGAUCACCAAACCCCUAACCACUUUGACACAGAAAGGUGUACUCUUUUGUUGAAGUGAAAAGCAAGAUACCGCAUUCCGAACGUUGAAGCGAGCCCUGUGCAGCGCACCUAUUCUGUCCCUGCCCGAAGGAACAGAGGAUUUCUUUGUCUAUUGCGAUGCGUCCAAUCAAGGCUUAGGUUGUGUGCUUAUGCAGAGAGGAAGACUUAUCGCUUAUGCCUCGAGACAACUAAAGGCACACGAAGUUAACUACACGACUCAUGAUCUGGAGCUAGGAGCAGUGGUCUUCGCACUGAAGAUUUGGAGGCAUUAUCUUUACGGAACCAAGUGCACAAUCUUCACUGACCAUAAAAGCCUGCAUCACAUCUUCAAUCAGAAAGACUUAAACAUGAGGAAACAGCGAUGGGUAGAGCUGCUCAGUGACUACGAGUGUGAAAUCCGCUACCAUCCCGGUAAGGCCAAUGUGGUAGCAGAUGCCCUUAGCCGACAGGAAAUCUCAAGCAACAAGGCCAAGAUGUUGACGAUGACCAUCCAUUCCCACUUAUCCGUUGUAACGCCCGCAAAUCCGGGCUAGUCAAUUUAGAGGCAAUAGGGGUCGAAAAUGACUUUUUGACAAAAGAUUACUUAGAAUAAAUAAUCUUAACCAAGUUGUAGUAUAUGUCACGAGGUUUCCGUACAUAUAAAGAACGCCGAAAUCCGAGUUAUAACGAAGAAGUUAUGACCCGUCGAAGUUUCGCGAUAGAACCGGCACGGCACCGGGAAGCAUAAAUAGUGAAUUUACGAUAGAGCGAGAUUUAGCCUUAGCGAUCUAAACAAAUGUCGUACAAUAUGUUAAACUAAGAACAUCGAUAAAAAGAACGCCCAAAUCUGACUUCGUAUGAAGAAGUUAUGAUUUUUUGAAGUUUCGGAAUAGCAGUGUGUAGCCCGAAAUUCGAAUAUUAGAUCGAGCAGUUUUUAGCCGACACGACCUAAAUGAGAAUCGAAGAUCUCGUUGAGAUUAGCGUAACGAGAAAAAUAUGGGCGAAAACGGAUGUCGGAUGAAGAAGUUAUGAGGAUUUAACGGACCAAUCGUGUCCCGGCCCGUUANGUUAAUAAUAUAACUUUUAAAAUAAAGUCAAGAUUAGCCAAUAGAGUCUAAACAAAAGUUGUAGAGUACGUUCCCACCUUCGCGUGGAUAUCAAGAACGUCGAAAAUGGAGCCCGCAUGCGAAAGUUAUGAUUUUUAGAAGUCGAGAAUGCAAUUUGCGAAGGCUGAUAAGGAGCUGAUGACGUGGCACAUUGUGGAUCGUCCAUCGCUGAUCAGAUCUCGCUUCAGAUGAAGAACACCUCGUCCUCGCUUACGCUCUGCGUCCAAAGCCAGUACGCACCGCGUACCCUCGCCCUUACCUCUUUCGAUGUUGCGAGCCAGCUGGUGCGAAGCUGGCACUCUUAUCCGAUGACUACGCCCCGCGUAGGUCCGAGGUACGCCUAGCGUACCGAGGCCUCGUAGGGCUAUAAAAGGAGGCCGAGAUUUCUUCAUUUUUCACACCAAAAUCACUUCUCUCUCUACAAGCUUUCUCUAUCUAAGAGCUAUAAAUUCCCCUAAGCCCUAGUUAAACCCCUUAGCACCCUAGGGAAGCCCCGAGGCUCCCGGAGUCCCGAGAAAAAGGAGUUUUUCGGUUUCGAAACGUUGCUCCAAUUAAGUCCUGGUUUUCGAUAAAAUUUGCUGUAAGUAUGCUACGCUUACGCAAUUUUUAAUAUAGCUUUCAAAUAAUUAUAGGAAUGUUAUUAGGUCCUUAAAAUAAUUAUUUGGGCUAUUAUUAUGAGUUAUAUCGAGUAUUAUUAACGCUUAAUAAUACUCGGACUAAUUAAUUUGUCGCGGUUAUCGUUAAACUAAACCCUAGUGGUAUCGAUACUAGGUUUUAUCGAAGGAAUAUCGUUUUGAGAGUAUCGAAGCGCUGUCCGAGUGCUGAGUCACCACCUAAUCAAGUGAGUGCAUAGUCUCUUUCAUCUUACACAUAGAUAUGAAGUAUUUUAAUAUAAAUUACGUGCUAUGUGUGCAUAUUGUUUGAAUACUUGUUGUCUAUGCUGGAUGAAUGAUUUAUACAUGUUUUAAAUGAUUUAAACUGUAUAUUUAUUUUAUAUCUACAAAUAUGUUGGGAUAAAACAUGGGUAGAUGAAAUAGUUGGUGAGUGAUGAAAUAAAAUAAUGAGAGAUAGGUGAUGAUAGAUAGGUGACUAUGAAUUGGUGAUGUAGGAUACUACAACCUUGUCCGACAAUUUGGAGAUGUAGUCAUCUACCAGAGUAUAGAUGGCGACCACGGACUAUUAUAGACAACCCCGUGGAAACACCAGCAGGCUAGCAACCUGUAGGUGAUGAAUUACGAGUUCAGGCGAUGUUGUAACUACGUAUUCAUGCGAUGAUAGUCUAACCCUUAUUAUGAAGUACGAGUCCAGGCGAUGUUGUGGCUACGUAUUCAUGCGAUGAUAGACUAACCCUUAUCAUGAUUUACAAGUCCAGGCGAUGUUGUGGCUGCGUAAUCAUGCGAUGAUACCCUAACUCUUGCUAGACACAUAUUGAGGGAGUAAUCCCCGGAUUAGUAUUGUCUAUGCAAUGUAGGCGAUGAUCCUUAGGUAAAGUUCGUAAGAACAAUCAUAUAAGGAAAUACGAUGUAAGGAGAUGAAAAGUAAAUAUGAUAUAGGAGAUGACCCUUGAGAUAAUAUCUUUAGGGAAGACUAAAAGAAGAUAACGGGGAUGGGUAAUUGGGUUGAUUGUUUGAUUGUUUAAACAUAAUAACUAUAUUAUUGUGGGUUGAAAACCCUAUGUACUCACCAGGUUUCCCAACCUGACCCACUCAGUUUAUUUACAUCACAGGUGACGAUAUGAAGUGACAUUACACUGAGAGAUUUAAAGAGAUGUAGAUCACUAGUGUAAAUAAUUGUAAGUUCUGUUUAUGCUUAUGUUUCUGUAUUAACGAUGACAUCCCAAACGUUUUAAAAUGAAAUAAAUACGUUUCUUCGAAAAUGUUUUAAUAACGUAUUUACCAUGUUUUUCUGGGAACAAAUUCCGCAACAUUUUUAUAAAAUGAAGUACUCUGAUUUUUAUAAAGCAUAAACAAAAUCGGUCUUUUCUGGCCGUGAUUUUGGGGAUGUCACAGUUGGUAUCAGAGCAUUAGUUUAAGCGAACUAGGAAUAUGGAUUUAUUUCUAGACUUAAACUUAGAAUGCUAAGCGAUGAUUGUGAGGUGUGAGCACUAGCUUAUUUUAGGAAUGAUGCCUAAAUUGCUUUUAUGUGCUAAAUGAUUUGUUAUGCUAUAGUUUGAUCGGAUCUAUGGUCUGUUGCCGACCGGAUCUGGAAACCUUAUGUGUUUAGGAUUCUAAACGUACGACUACGAUAUUAGAACUAGCAUGUAAACGUUUCGGAGUGAUAAGGAUGAUUUAAACGUCAAUCCUAAGUAAAGGUCUAGAUUCACCUCAUUAGGUGUAUAGAUCAAGAUGGUAAGAACCCGUAGUGGAAACGUAAAUGCAAAUGGGAACAGAAACCAACCCCCAGUGAUUGAGCAAAUACCGGUGAUGGAAGCCACUGCUGAGCCAGUCACAAUGGCCGGAGUGCAAGCGAUGAUCCAAGCGAUGUUGGAUCGUCAAAUGGAGGAAACCAGGCGUUUGCUCCAGCAAAAUCGAGAGGAAGCGACCAUUCAGAUCGAACGGCCCGAGUUGAACGAGGGGCAGACUGAGGAGGGAAACUACAGUGGGACUGUUGGUCAAGCCAACCCACCAAUGGUUAAGCAAAACCACCAGGAUGGAGGAAAUGAUGGACGUGGAUGCAAAUACAAGGAUUUCAUGGCGUCCAAACCACCGAGUCUAUCUGGAAGCCCGACGCCGGUGGAAGUCAUAAACUGGAUCUCCGAGAUGGAGACGAUGUUUGAGAGUUGUGAGUGUAGCAACAGGCAAAAGACCGCUCUCGCGGUUCCUCUGUUGAAAUCUGGAGUACUAAGCUGGUGGAAGCUACUAGCUGAUUCAAUGCCCAAAGGAGAAGCGAGCAAGAUGUCAUGGGAGGAUUUUUUGGUGCAGCUAAAAAUGAAGUACUGCUCUGAGCAGGAUCUACUAGAGAUUAACAACGAGUUUCAAAAUCUAAAGAAGGGAAAGAUGAGUGUCAUCGAGUAUGCUGCAAGUUUUACGGAGAAAAUGAAGCUUGUUCCUUAUCUAGUUCCAACUGAACUCUCCAAGGUCAAUAAGUUUGCCCAUGGAUUACCAGCAGACUUUGGUCCAAUGGUCAAACAAGCAACCACUUUGAAAGCCGCCAUCUGGGCAGCCAAGAAUGUUGAGACCCAAAUAAGAGAAAAGGGUCUGGAGAAAGUUGAAGUUGGUGAGAAGAGGAAGUUGGAAGGAUCCUCAAGACCUGAUAAUAAGGGAAAGUUCUCGAAGUCUAACCGGGACGACCGAAGGAAUGAAGCCAAGUGGUGUGAGAAGUGCAAGAAGAAGCACUUCGGAAGAUGCGAUGGUGAAGUGACGUGCUAUAAGUGUGGUAGGACCGGUCACUAUUCCAGAGAUUGUACAUUCGACAACAAGAAGUGCUACGAAUGUGGAAAUGAUGGGCAUAUUUCAAAGAACUGUCCAAAGAAAAACGAAGCUGCAAGACCAAAUGCACCAUAGAAACCAGGGGCAUUCCACAUGAUCCUCAAUGAUGCAGACAACAAUGCGAGGAAUCAAGAAUGAAGACUUCUUAUCCGAAGAUCGGAUUAUUCAGUAGCCAUAGUUUCGUAUGAUGUACUCACCAGGUUUCCCAACCUGACCCACUCAGUUUUAUUUACAUCACAGGUGACGAUAUGAAGUGACAUUACACUGAGAGAUUUAAAGAGAUGUAGAUCACUAGUGUAAAUAAUUGUAAGUUCUGUUUAUGCUUAUGUUUCUGCAUUAACAAUGACAUCCCAAACGUUUUAAAAUGAAAUAAAUACGUUUCUUCGAAAAUGUUUUAAUAACGUAUUUAUCAUGUUUUUCUGGGAACAAAUUCCGCAACAUUUUUAUGAAAAGAAGUACUCUGAUUUUUACAAAGCAUAAACAAAAUCGGUCUUUUCUGGCCGAGAAAAUGGGGAUGUCACAUCUGUACAGAUCCGAGAAGCUUAGUUAGAAGCCAUCGGGUCUGCUCUAGCAGCCCGAGAUACCUUAGUAGAAAUAGGAGAUGAUUACUAUGGAUUUAAUCACCAAGUUACCCAAAUCUCCGAGUGGGUACGAUACCAUUUGGGUAAUUGUCGAUCGUUUGACAAAAUCCACUCACAUCCUUCCGAUUAAAGAAUCGUUCAAGAUGGAAAGACUCACGCGAAUCUAUAUCCAAGAGAUAGUCCAACUAAACAGUGUACCUGUGUCCAUUAUCUCCGAUCGAGAUAGUAGGUUUACCUCAAGGUUUUGGUAGUCCGUUCAGAAAGCUCUUGGAACUAAGCUGGAUAUGAGUAUAGUUUAUCAUCCUCAUACAGAUGGGCAGAGUGAGAGAACUAUCCAAACCUUGGAAGACAUGUUGAGAGCCUGUUUCAUUGAUUUUGGAAAGUAGUGGGGCACCCAUUUACCUUUGAUCGAGUUCUUAUAUAACAACAGCUACCACAUCAGUAUCAAGGCUGGCCCAUUCGAAGCCCUCUACGGUCGCAAGUGCAGAUCUCCUCUGUGUUGGGUUUGGGUAGGGGACACGCAGCUAGUUAAGAGUCGAGUCUCCGACAGUGCUCUCACUAGUCCUAAAAUCAUCUCUGAAACCACCAAGAAGAGCAUCCAAAUCCGAGAACGACUGAAAGCUUCAUGAGACAGACAAAAGAUUUACGCCAAUAAACGACGAAAAACCUUGGAAUUCCAGGUUGGAGAUCGUGUCCUGUUGAGGGUCUCACCCUGGAAAGGCAUGAUACGCUUUGGAAAGCGCGGAAAAACUUAACCCAAGGUACAUAGGACCUUUCGAGACCCACGCUAGGAUUGGUCCCGUAGCCUACAUACUCCGACUACCUCAAGAUCUUAGCAACAUCCAUCCUGUCUUCCACGUCUCUAAUAUUAAAAAGUGUUUAUCCAACGAAACACUAGUGACCCCUCUUGAUGAGAUCGAAAUCAAAGAAAACCUGAACUUCGUGUAAGAACCAAUCGAAAUCAUGAAUCAAGAGAUAAAACGUACGAAACAAAGUCGUAUCCCGAUACUGAAGGUUUGCUGGAAUGCCAAGCAGGGACCUGAGUUCACUUGGGAGCGCAAAGACUUGAUGAAGCAUAAAUAUCCGCAUCUCUUUCCAAAUCCAUGAUUUGUAUCUUAAUUUUAAAUUUCGGGACGAAAUUUUCUCUAACAGGGAGAUAAUGUGACAACCCGUAAUUUAUUCUGUCACUGUAAGCCGUUCCCGUUAAUAAAACCGCUUGUAUUCCAAUUUUUCCGUUAACUUUUGGGUUAAGUUAAUUAAAUUGAGACCUUUAUUAUGAUCUCGUGAGUGUCCAAACCCAUUUGAAACACGUGAAAACACCCCAAUUUUUAUUUGGAAAUUUUUUAGUUUCGACCAUGUCGGGUUACGACAACUAAAUCGGGUACGACCAUAAGCCUCGUUUAACGUCAGUAUCAGGUAGAUUUCCACUGAGCCUCAAACUCAAACCCUAUAUAAGGGUGAGUGGACUUCAUUUGAAGCUUUUUCACUCACUCUCUCUCUCUCUCUCUCUCUCUCUCUCUCUCUUCAAUCCAAACUUUGAUCCAAAAAUCACCCAUUUCAAGCUCCAUAUCGGUAAGUAAUCCAUCCUAGCUUAUAGUUUAGAUUGUUUAGCUUACAAAUUUGUCUCUAAAUCAUCCAAAAAGACCAAAGACUUAUGUUUACGGCCCUAGAACAGCCCCAAACCGUAAAAACACUUAAAUGGGGUUUUGGAGCCUCAAAACCCUUCCAAACCACUUCUGGAGCUUAGUUAUGACUUAGGGGCUUACAUGAAUGGACUUAGAACACCAAAACCUUAAUAUUUAGGGAGUAAACAUGGUUUUACGGCCCAAGAGCAUGUUUGGACCGUAAACACCCCUUCUAUGGCCGUAAACACCAUUUAAUGUGUUAAGAUGCCCCUUAAACACCUCUUAUGCCUUGGAAUAAUGUCUAGAACCAACCACCAUUCUGUUAGGGACCUUAAACAUGAGAGGAACCACCUCCUUAGGAGAUUACAACCAUAAACCCCCCAAGGAAUGGUUCUUGGGCCGUAAACUCCUAUAAAAUGGUCAAAUGGUGCCCUAACUUCCUUCCAUGGCUUGUACUUUAGACUAGGACCACUUGUGCUUAACCUAGGACCACCAAAACACAAAAGAAAAGGGUAAGUAAGAGAUUAUGGCCGUAAAAUCUAUGUAUACUAUCAUAAACUCCCCAUAAUGGUCAAUUUGAUGGUUUAAUCCCUUCCAAUGCCUUAGAAUUGAUCCUAGCCUAAUUCCGCAAGUGUUAUAAGACCAUUAAUCAUCCAAGAACACACCACCCAUGAGUUUACAACCAUAAACUCAUGGGGAUAUGGUCAUUAGGCCGUAAUCUCCCUUAGGAGUUUACUCUUGAAGAGCAAACUCCAUAUCUAGGCCUUACAACUCCUUAGAUGCAACCCGGACCACUCCUAACACUUGAAGUGAAGUGUUUUCGCGCGUCGGAGUUUAUAUUCUUAUUUAAUUAGUAGUUGAAGAUCUAAUUAGAUACAUUUAUGUAUCUCUUCAUAUUACAUAGGAACCUCACAUGUGCUCAAGCCCUGAACUGACACUUAGCAUCCUAGCCGACACAUUUCUAGUCUGGUGAGUUCAUACCCCUACACCUUUUUCCGUGUUUUUCAAUGUUUUCAGGGGGGAAUACAAGCAAAAGUACAAGUAAAUCUUGUACUCAACUUAUUAUUUCAUUUGAAAAUUUUUCAUAUUUCGUAUGCUUUUAACACUGGAAACCGUAUUAACCAACCGUUUGACUUGCAGAGUUAGUUUUCAAACUAAUUGCGAACUUAUUAUAAAAUGUUAUAUUUUAUAUCUCACAAAUGAUUUUCCAUAUUUAUUUAGUGUUAAAAUCAUUAUUUUUAGAACUUUAGAUACGUCCUCUGUAACACUCCACAGAGAUACGCGAGCGGAGGACCACCUCUGUAACUAGAAUCUAAAACAGGAUUUUCUGCAUUAUUACUUGUAAAUUUGUUAUUCUUAAGAUUGGAGACACGUCCUCUGUAACUCUCCACAGAGAUACGCAAGUGGAGGACUGCCCCUAUAACCAGAAUCUCCUAGAAGGAGAGCGUGACUUGAGUGUAUAGAUCUAUACGGGGCUAACUAUCCCGCACCUUGCUGCUAGCUACACUGGGACCGGCAGGUCUACGAGUGACAAAAGUCAUAAAUGAUACCAGCCUUCCUUUGCCAUAUCUAGUUUAUCGUAUGGUUAUAGAACUCACAAAAUUAGAUAAUAGAGAUUUACUUUUAGUAAUAAAGCACUUAGUAAAUUAAUAACCUUAGAAAUUAGUUUACUAUUGUAAGGUCAAACCUUGAAAUAUGAUGAUGUUUAAAAAAGAUCUCAGCAUCAGCGCAUAUCUCAGUGUCAGCAUCAACGCUUCAGCAACUCAGGUUGUUUAGUUUAGUCACUGCAUUGUAACAGAUUUUGUACUUAUCUUGUUUCCAUAGUUAGCGUAAAUUAGUUAGCUGGCAUAUCCCUGAUUUGUAGGGAUUGUCUAGUAUAGCAGUAUAUAAUCUUUUGUAUCGGUUUGUGAAAGGACACCUUUCACAAACCCUAAUCGCUGCUUUGUGCACACCAUAAUCUCUUUGUGAGAUUAUCUUUCUUAGUGAAAGCUUUUCUUCGUGAAUUCUUCUUAUUCUUAUUUACUAUUAUUGUUUGAUAAAUUGAUUGAUAUAAAGGCCUUUUCAAUUGGUAUCAGAGCAGGUUUCUUUUAUCAAACAAAUGGCUUCAUCUUCCUCUUUUUCGAACUCAUCAAAUCAUCCUUCCACUAAAAUUCCUCCGUUUGAUGAAACAAAUUUUUCCAUGUGGAAAAUAAAGGCUCUAUAUGCUUUAGAGUCAGUAGAUGAAGACAUGUUGGACAUCGUCGAAAAUGGUCCAUACGUCCCGAUGUAUCAGCCUCUGAAAAAUAACGUCCCUGAUGGUGCGAUGAAGAAAACACCUAAAGAAAACUGGACGGCAGAUGACAAAAGAAAUCAUGGUCUAGAUGUUCGUGCUCAUGCUGCAAUCAGCUACGCUCUGCCAUAUAAUAUCUUUGGGUUGGUUCAGAACUGCAUCUCAGCAAAAGAGAUGAUGGAUACUCUGACUGUAUCGUUUGAAGGCACUGAAGAAGUCAAGGCCACUCAAAUAAAUGAUCUUAACAGAAGGUAUGAACAUUUUUUUGCAAAGAAAGGUGAAACUUUGACUCAAACCUUUAACAGAUUCAAUACUCUUGUUAAUGAUUUACGGAGAUUAGAUCAGUUGAAGCAUAGAACUGUUCUAGUGUAGAAGUUUUUGGAUUCUCUGGGUGUAGGUUGGGAGAACCAUGUUGAUGUACUAAAAAAUAGUGAGAAGAUCAACACUAUGGACUUACAAAGUCUCUAUGGAAAUCUUCGAUACUAUGAAUAAUCCAAGCUUCAAAGAAAGGAGCUGAUGAAGGAUUCUCAGCAUGAAUCAUCUGUAGCCUUGUUCUCAAACAAAAAGCUAGUGUCAGAUUCAGACACUGAAAUCUAUUCAGAUACUGAUUCCUCUAAAACUGACACUGAUGAUCUUGAAAAGGUUGUGGCUAGUGCAGCUUUAAUUUUAAAGACUUUUGAGAAAUCAGGUCGAAACUUCUCAAAGUUUUAGAAGAAGAUGGGAGGAAAGUUUUCAAAAAGAUCAGAUGCUGAUAAAAAGCAUGGUGCUGAUAAGAAAGGGAAGGCUCGGUGCUUUAACUGUGGGAGCACUGAUCAUUUUGCAAAGGAAUGUAAACAAAAAAAACAAAGCUCGGAUGAAUACUGGAAGCAGAAGUACAACAAGCUGAUUGAGAAACUGAAAGCAGAAAACUUGGAACAUAAAGUUCUUGUUGCUGAAGAAGAAAAUUGGAAGACUGAUGAGGAGUCAUCAGAUGAUGAAGUCAAGUGUCUAAUGGUAAAGAUAGAAGACACGGAUGUUCCUGAAAAAGGCACAAGUACAUUUGAUGCUGAUAUGUCUGAUGCAGUUGAAAAAUCCAAGAAGCACAACACUGACUCUCCUUCAAUGUAUCAGGUUAAAAACUUUGUUUCCUAUUCAAUGAAUGAAAAAAUCAGAAUGUUUGAGUAUUUGGGUGUCAUUAAUUCUAAGAAGAAUCAAACAAUAAGGGAUUUACAAAAUCAACUUGACCUUCUUAAAACUGAAAUAUCCAUGAAAAAUAACCUUAUUGAUUCCACUCAGGAAAAUCUUAGAAUCACUAGUUUGUCAAAUUCAUCUUUGUCUGCUGAAAUUGACAAUGUCAAAGAUCUUUUGAUCAAAGAACAAACUAUGCUUCAUACUUGGGCAAAAUCUCACAAGAAUGCCAAUUAUAUUAUUUUUGCUCAAAUUCCACAUUCAUGUGAAAAAAUUCUUGGGGGUAAUUUUGCAGAAGCUGAAAAAGUUUUUAAAUCACAAGAAAAGGAAUCUGAAUUUUAUUCCAUGAAUGAGAUGAAAAACAAUUUCAAAAAUAAGUUUGUCAGUAACUCUUUUAUUAAUCAGAGUUUAAUUGAUGAAUACUGUGUUACUAACUCUAAUGGUGUUACUGAGUGUAAUGUUGAAAUUACCGGAAUUGAUCCAACCUCUUACCCUGCACAUCUUGUAAGACCAACUCCUCUCACUGAGAAUAUUAUUGCCUUUCCUAUCUCAAAUGGAGUGUUUCAUGCUGUUCAUGAACAACUUAAGCAUUUUCCUAAUUCCAAUGCAAUCGUGAAUAAGUCCAAAUCAGACACUGAUGAUAGCUCAUCGUCUAUCACUGAUCAUAAUAUGUCUGACACUGAAUUUAGUUGUGAUUCAAUAAUAAGCAAAAGGACACAAAGCUCUCUUGGUGAAUCUUACAAGUCGAAAUGUGUUAAGUCAAAAAAAAACUAGUCACCAAGAGGAACCUUGGUACUAGAGUUUGUUACAGAUGUGGUGAUACCUCUCAUAAGAUUAGUGAAUGUUCAUUUGAUAAAUCAUCUUUAAGAGCUGAUAAUAUUAAAGUUAGAAAUGAAAAAUGGACUCUUAAGUCAAAUUCUUUAAACUGUCUUCCUAAGGAGUGUUAUAAUCUAUUAUCAAAUAACUUUGUGAAUUACCCAUCCUCGAAUGAGUCAGUGUGUUCUAACUAGUUUCUUAGCACUGUAGGGUCAGGAGCAUCUUUGGUACUUAGAUAGUGGUUGCUCAAGACAUAUGACAGGAUCAAAGUCUCUCCUGGAAGAUUAUGUCAAGAAAACUGGUCCUGCAGUAACUUAUGGAGACAAUGGAAAGGGGUUCACUAAAGGAUAUGGAAAUAUCAAAUGCAAUAACGUGGUUUUUCAAAAUGUUUCAUAUGUAAAGGGUCUCAAACACAACCUUAUCUCCAUCAGUCAAUUGUGUGAUGCUGACUAUGAAGUUCACUUUACAAAGAAGGAAGGCAGAGUUGUCAACACUGACAAGAACAUCGUACUUUCAGCAAGUAGAAAAGAUGAUAUAUAUGUUCUUGACAUGUUCUCGAGUGACAAGGCGCUGAUGCAAUGCUUCUUUACAAAGUCUCAGACGAAUCUUAGCUGGAUUUGGCACAAAAGGUUCUCUCAUCUGAACUUCAAGAACCUAUCCAAAAUAUCCAAUCAAGAUCUAGUUAGAGGGCUCCCAAAAUUCAGCGUUGUGAAAGACAAGAUGUGCUCAGCUUGUGAACAAGGAAAACAAACCAAGUCCUCUUUCAAACCCAAGUCAUGUUCCAGUAUAUCAGUCCCUCUUCAUUUACUCCACAUGGACUUGUUUGGACCUAUUCCUGUCCGUUCUCUAGGUGGAAAUAAGUAUACUCUAGUGGUUGUGGAUGAGUUCACUCGAUUUACAUGGGUGGUUUUCCUGAAGAAGAAAAGUCAUGCUGCACAGGAAAUUAUUUCACUGAUUCGUAAAAAUGAGACACUGACAGGUCUCAAAGUUAAGCAACUAAGAAGUGAUCAUGGUACUGAGUUCCGAAAUUCAACUCUUGAAGAAUUUUGUGAUCAUAAAGGCAUUGGGCAAAACUUCUCAGCUCCUCGUACUCCUCAACAAAAUGGAGUUGCUGAACGAAGAAAUAGAACGCUGAUUGAAGCAGGAAGGACCCUAAUGAUUCAUGCUGGUCUUCCUAUGUCGUUUUGGGCUGAAGCUGUCAAUACAACGUGCUUUACUCAGAAUCGAUAUUUAAUUCACAGGAUUCAUAAGAAGACACCAUAUGAAAUGUUGAAAAGCCGAAAGCUAGACGUAUCCUUCUUUCACAUGUUCGGAUGUGUUUGUUAUAUUCUAAAUCAGCGUGACCCAAGAUCUAAAUUUGAACCUAAGGCUGAUAAAGGUAUUUUUGUUGGAUACUCAUCUAUUUCAAAGGCUUUUCGUGUUUUUCAUGUGAACAGGCAAUGCAUUGAAGAAUCCAUUCAUGUGAAGUUUGAUGAGGAAUCAUACACUGAUGAAAAAGUCACUCAUUCUUCCUCUAUUUUUCAAGAGCUUCUCUCUUGCCCAUUUGACGAAGUUCCUCUUGCUGGAGAUGAAGCUGAUAUUUCUGAUUCUAUCGUUCUAGUUCCAUGUUCCUUGAAUCAAGAUACUGCAGCCAGAUCAUCAAAUAAUUCGUCAGGUGCUAAUGAAACCCUUGAAGCUGAAGAUUCUCCUGCAACUGAUAACUUGUCAGUGUAAAAUUCUCCGGAAUCAGCAUCAGUCUCUAAACAUCGAUAUCAUCCUGUUGAUCAAAUUAUUGGGAAUAUUCAUGAUGGUGUCCGAACCAAAUCUCGUGUAUCUAAUAAAUUUUGCAUGUAUGUUAAUUUCGUUUCAAUGAUCUUACCUGACAAGAUACACACAGCUCUUGAAGAUGCUGACUGGAUUAAAGCCAUGCAAGAAGAUCUGAAUGAGUUUGAAAGGCACAAAGUUUGGACUCUUGUCCCAAGACCAUCAGGAAAGACUGUCACGGAACUCGCUGGGUCUAUCGCAACAAGGUUGAUAAAGAUGGAAUCAUCACUCGCAACAAGGCAAGGCUUGUCGCUCAAGGGUUUACUCAAAUUGAAUCCAUUGACUACGGGGAAACCUUCGCUCCAGUUGCUCGCAUUGAAGCAAUCAGACUGUUUCUCGCAUACGCAUCCUACAUGAAUUUCAUUUUCUAUCAGAUGGAUGUGAAAACAGCCUUUCUUCAUGGUGUGUUAGAAGAAGAAGUUUUCCUCAAUCAGCCCCCAGGCUUUGUUGACAAAGAUCACCCUGAUCAUGUGUACCGAUUAGACAAAGCUGUUUAUGGACUGAAGCAAGCUCCCAGGGCUUGGUAUGAGAUGCUGACAUCGUAUCUUCUUGAGAAUGGAUUCAGAUGAGGAGCAAUCGACAAUACUCUCUUCAUCAAAAACAAAGGCUCAGACAUGGUUCUUGUUCAAAUCUAUGUCGAUGACAUCAUUUUUGGCUCUCCAAAUGAGAAACUGAGCAAGGAAUUUGCAGAGAUCAUGUCUCAAAGGUUCGAAAUGAGCAUGAUGGGAAAGAUGACCUUUUUCUUAGGUCUUGAAGUUCAGCAACAAAAGUCAGGUAUUUCUAUUUGUCAAAGUAAAUAUAUUUCUGAUUUGCUUGUUAAGUAUUCUCUCAGUGACUGCAAACCAACUUCUACUCCAGUAUCCAAGACUGAUAAGAUUCACGCUGAUCCAACUGGAACUGAUGUCAAUCACUCUCUAUAUCGAGGAAUGAUUGGAUCUCUUUUAUAUCUCACGGCAAGUCGUCCUGACAUCAUGUUUGGAACCAUUCUCUGUGCUCGAUUCCAAGCUAAUCCGAAGGAAUCCCAUCUCAUGGUCGUCAAACGUAUCUUUCGAUAGUUGAAAGGGACUCCAAACCUAGCACUGUGGUAUCCUCGUGACUCAGCAUUCGAACUUUUUGGAAACACUGAUUCAGACUAUGCAGGAUGCAAUUUAGACAAAAAGAGUACGUCUGGUGGAUGUCACUUCCUUGGAAAUCGUCUCAUCAGCUGGUCUAGCAAGAAGCAAACAUCAGUAGCCAUCUCGACUGCAGAAGCUGAGUAUGUUGCAGCUGGGAGAUGUUGUGCUCAGCUCUUAUGGAUUCAAAAUCAGCUUCUCGACUAUGGGAUCAAGUUCUCAAAGACUCCCAUAUAUUGUGAUAACACCAGUGCCAUUCAAAUCACACAAAACCCUGUUCAGCACUCAAAGACGAAGCAUAUCGAAAUCAGACAUCAUUUCAUCAGAGAUAAUGUUGAGAAGGGAAAGGUUGUUCUUGAACAUGUCAAGACUUCAGAGCAACUUGCUGAUAUCUUCACUAAGGCACUGGAUUCUCAAACAACUGCUUACAUUAUUGGAGAACUUGGAAUGAUUACUUUGUAAUUAAUUUUGCUAAUGUUUGGUAUUGUCUUAUAAGCUGAUGUACAUUGUGCUGAUGAUGAGAUGCUGAUGAUAUUUGCAUUCUAAGUAUUUGGUUUGAUCUCCUAUCUUUCUCUCUUCUUCAACUCUUCUCAACUAAAGUUGAAUGAUUCACUGUAUUAAAACCAUACACUGAUAACAACUUGAAACUCUUUGCCGAUGGUUAGAUCAAAACAGCAAGAUCUAUCACACGCAACUAUCUCUUCUUACCAAUCUUACACUGAUUCCGUGAUUCAGUGUGACAAAACACACACUGAUGAGAAUCUAAAAAUCUUUACCGAUGGUUAGAUCAAAACAGCAAGAUCUAUCACACGCAACUAUCUCUUCUUACCAAUCUUACACUGAUUCCGUGAUUCAGUGUGACAAAACACACACUGAUGAGAAUCUAAAAAUCUUUGCCGAUGGUUAGACCAAAACACCAAGGUUUAUCACACGCAACAAUCCUUUCUUUACCUUCUUCUCAUUCAGUGUCUAAUGAUUCAGUAAGAUAAACCUCUCACUGAUAAAGACACAACACUCUGUGCCGAUGGUUAGAUAAUGCAACUAGUAUCUAUCAAACGCACCAAUCUCCUUGCUAGCCCCAACCGAGCAAGUUGUACCUUAAAUUGACGGAGAAAUAUCCUCAGCAUGUAAUUUUUGUGACACUGAUCUUAGCGCUUCCGCAAACACUGAUUGACGUUUCAUCUUCAGUCAACGACUCUUUUACCCAAAGGCUAUUUUUUGGUCUGACAGGUUGUUACGAUACGCCGUUAUUUUUUAAGAAGAUAAUCAUUACCUUUUUUAAAGACCCGUUUCAUUCCAUAUUUAAACCUCUUUCCACCCUUAUUUCAAACUUUCCUUAGACAAUUUCAACUUCCUUCACUUAUAUUCAAAACCCUAGCACCCUAAAAACUCUCUAAUGGCGGCAUCUCUGUUCACUUUCUCCUCCACUUCACGAAGGGUAGUUCCUGCCCCAAACUCUCCUCCUCUUCCAAUAUACAUCAAAGCCACAAACGUUGUUUUCAACCCUGAUAUUCCCGAUGUUCAUCGAGGUCUUGGACUCGAUGAUUUUGUUAAUUUCUUAGCCUCCUGCCGCCUACGAUACGCCAUCAGUGACAUUCCAUCAGAGUUCUUCCCUAAACAAGUCUGUGAGUUCUACUACACUGCAACUGUCAAUGACGAAAACAAUGCCAUCACCGGGACCAUUGGCCGUGGCAGACACUUUGUCUUAUCACCGCAGAACUUCUCAGUGCUGCACUAAGGUUACCUAUCUUUGAACCUUUCUCUGAACUUACUUCUAUUGAACGAUGUAGACGAUUAUUCGAUCAACUGGGAUAUGAUCACUCAAAGGCUAGUGCUCGCUCAGCCCUUGUUCUGCGCCAAUGUAUGACCCCAGGAUGGAUGUUCUUCACUGGUGCUCGGUGCAAAUUUGUGGGUCACAAGUCUCGAAGUGGUGAUCAAAUGAGCACUUAUGAACAAAAAGUUGUGUGCUCACUACUUCUCAACAAAAGACUUGAUUAUGCGGCCUUAUUCUUUGAGCAACUUGUUCAACUUCUUCAUGCAAAUGUACGCGCUGAUCAUGUUCCCUUCCCACGCUGGAUUGCUCUUGUGCUCGAUAAAUUCUUUGCUGCAGAUUACUAGUCGCACACUGGAAAUCCUAUUCAAUGCCCUCGCAUGUCAAUUCGCAUGUAUCAAGAUGAUCCGCUAGAUACUGACAUCGGAAUAUCUGAUAGGAUGAGGGAAUGGAUUGCAAACCCAUACACUGUUCCUUCACUCACCGCUGAUACUGAUGAAGGAGGUGCUGAUGGCAACCAUGAAGAUCCUGUUGGUCAAGAGGAUGAACCACAUGAUGGUGGUCAUUUCUCUCCUCAACUUUCUCAGCAUACCGUCUCUGUUACUAAGAAAGUGACCUCAGCUCAAAAGGAUUCACUGAUUCAGGGGGAGCAACAAUCUUAGGGGGAGCAUCCAUCUCAGGGGGAGCAUCCCUCACAGGGGGAGAUUCCACCCCAGAUAGACCAAUCUUCUCCAAGGAUGCCACCUCGCUCACAAGCAGCUCCAGAUACUUCAUUCGUUCAAAUUUCAGCCUCAGCAUUUAAUGAACUUCUGGCACUGACUCGGGACAUGAGUCAGCGUCUUCUACGUAUUGAGGUUGAUGUUCAUCAGCUUAAGGAAGUUCUCUUGCAUACUCCAUCCUCCAUCCCUCAAUCUGAUGAUGCUCAAAAAGGGGGAUAUACUGAUGAUCAUGAUGCUGAUCGUGAUAAUGCUGAUGAUAAUCCGAAAGAGAGUGACACUGAAUAUGUUCAGACUGAGCCACCAAAGCAGAUGCCCGAGUCUGACUUUGUAAAACCUAAUUGUCCAGCAGAUACUGAAAAGCUCGUUGAAGAUAGUGAGCAUGAUGAUAAACAAGAUGAUGAAUGUCAAAUACUAGAUAUGAACUUCAUUGAUCCUUUUAUUCCAGUUCAAGAAGAAGAUUCAGAUGAUCUUGAUAAAGAAUUGCAAAGGUCAAACAUGAAAGUCGUUGAUCCCACUAUUGAUCCCAUUGUUCCGGUCCAAGGAGAAGAUUCAGACAUUGCUAGUGAAGAUUCUCAUCUGUUAUCUCGCAAGUGAAAGGUAGCAGAUACUAACUUGGCUUCUUCACACACUGAUACUUCUUUGUCUUGCAAGAAACCCAAGUCCAUUGUCAGUAUAUCAAAUUUGGCGGCUGAAUGGAACAUGUCAUCUGAUCAAGUUAAGCAAAUUCUUGAUGAAGCUAAUCAAGCUCAGCUUCUGAAGAACAUUGCUCAAGCUGAUGAAUAUCUCAUUCAGCAUAAACUUCAGGCCAAAGGAUCUUUUGAAGCUCAGAUGCAGAAAUUCUUGGAAUUUUAGUCCAAGUCUCAAUCUUCUCAGCCUCCUCCUAGCAACAGUAAGCCUAAGACUGACAGUGUUCUAGACAGGAUUGAUCGAAAAAGGUUUGAAGAUGUUCUAAAACGACGAAUGUGUGGUGAUAAGAUCAUCAAAGUUAAAGCUUCCAAACCACGUAAUGAGAAAAUUCUUACGUUGCUGAUCACUCGUCAAGGUCCGCAUCAUUCAUACACUGAAGUUGUCAAGAGGGAUGAGCUAAUUAGAUAUGGAUAUUCUGAAUGGAUGGAAUUAUGAAUUAGCGNNNNNNNNNNNNNNNNNNNNNNNNNNNNNNNNNNNNNNNNNNNNNNNNNNNNNNNNNNNNNNNNNNNNNNNNNNNNNNNNNNNNNNNNNNNNNNNNNNNNNNNNNNNNNNNNNNNNNNNNNNNNNNNNNNNNNNNNNNNNNNNNNNNNNNNNNNNNNNNNNNNNNNNNNNNNNNNNNNNNNNNNNNNNNNNCAGGUACUCAGUUCAUCCAAAUCCCAUCCUCAGCCUUUAAUGAGCUUCUUACACUGACUCGAGACAUGAGUCAGCAUCUCCUUCGUAUUGAAGCUGAUGUUCAACAACUGAAAGGAGUUAUUCUGUCAACUCCUACCCCUGGCCCAAAUGAUGAUGAUGCUCAAAAAGGGGGAGAAACUGAUUCUGUUAAGAAUGUAUCUGAGGGGAACGUGCUGAAACAGACCGAGCCACCACAGCCUGUGCACGAGUCUGAGAAACAAAUAGAAGCUGAAGCUGAGUAUGAAGAGUUCUUGUCCAGAGGUGUUUUAAUUUAGUUGGUUUUGAACAUCAUCAUAUUGGGGGAUAUUGUAAGGUCAAACCUUGAAAUAUGAUGAUGUUUAAAAUAGAUCUCAGCAUCAGCGCAUAUCUCAGUGUCAGCAUCAGAGCUUCAGCAGCUCAGGUUGUUUAGUUUAGUCAGUGCAUUGUAACAGAUUUUGUACUUAUCUUGUUUCCAUAGUUAGCGUAAAUUUGUUAGCUGGCAUAUCCCUGAUUUGUAUGGAUUGUCUAGUAUAGCAGUAUAUAAUCUUUUGUAUCGGUUUGUGAAAGGACACCUUUCACAAACCCUAAUCGCUGCUUUGUGCACACCAUAAUCUCUUUGUGAGAUUAUCUUUCUUACUGAAAGCUUUUCUUCGUGAAUUCUUCUUAUUCUUAUUUACUAUUAUUGUUUGAUAAAUUGAUUGAUCUAAAGGCCUUUUCAACUAUUUUGAUAGUUUUAUAUACGUGUUAAAAUGAACGUACUUUUCAAGGAUAACCAGGCUUUCAAGAAACUUCACACAAACACUACAAGUAUUGUUGAUUCAUGUACACUUCAUUUAGAUUCGGUAACCAACCACAAACUUUUAAGUAAAAUUAGGGUUUUUCAUGGGAUAACAAACUGUUCUUAACCAAACUGUGUAACAUAUGGAUAACAAAACUUUACGUAUAAGAAAAUAUGGGAUUUUCAUAGAUAUCAACUUUUUCAGAAAACCAAAGAAAACUUGUUCUUUUACAGAAACAAACCGCUUAUGAACUCACCAGCUUUAUGCUGAUAUUUUAAAACUACUUGUAUUCUCAGGUUAACAUUAGACAGGUAUCCUGCGUUCUUUUGAAGAAGACGGAGCAUAUGGAAGUCAGUCUUUACUUUUGUUUAAACUAAUGUAUCUAUAAAACAUGUAUUACUUUGCUUUCAAACAAAUGUAAUGAUUCUAACGUAAUGUAAUGUUUUUUGUUUACUAUGCUUACUAUGUACAGUGGUUGUGAUACUUUACAUAACGUCCUCCGCCCCGGAACGUUUCCGCCAUCGGUUUCAGGGUGUGACACAGGGCGUACGCAAUCAGUGCCCGAAGCCUAUUUUCGUUGUUUGAGCCCUAUUUAAGCUCUUAAAGUCCCCAAAUCCACUCCAUUCUCAGCCUCCACCCCUCUAACACCCCUUCCAUGGUGCACCUUGGAGAAGAAGGAACUUCUUAGAGACGUGUUGGUUGCAUUGGAUCUUGUAGAUCUAGACUUUGUUCACCUUGACCUAUACUCUAGAUGUAUAAAUUUGAAUAUUGAUGAUGCAUUUGUUAGAUCUAACCAGUUUUGGAUGUUAUGAGCUUUUAGUCCUUUUGUUGUAUAAACUUUAGAUCUUGGAAUUUUGUGGCCAUGUUAUGGAUAAAGUUGGAAACUUUAUCCAUCUAAACAUCAUUUGAUUUAGACCUGAAAGUUGGAGACUUGUACUUAAUAGAUUAAUUUGAAAAAGAUUAUCUUUUGGGUCCCUUUGAAACUUAAAGACUAGAUCUUGUUUAUUGGGACCAUUUUACUGGAUAAAGUUUGAAACUGUAUCCAUUAUAAAGCUACUAUGAACUAUAAAAAUGUGAUCUUGGCCCUUAUAUCCCUUCCAUACAAGAGUUGUGAUGUCUUAUUAGGUUAAGAACUUGGGGUUUUGGACAUUAAGCACUUUAUAACCAUGCAAAGUCAUAAAGUUGGAAACUUUAUGACUUAGAACAUCAUUUUGGGCUUGGAUCUAGUUUUUGGAUGUAAGAACUUAAUAGGAUAAUCUCUUAAUUGAGUUUGGGACUUGCUAGGGUACGCCCCACAUACCUCCGGAGUAUGUUCCAUGUACGCACCCUGAGUUGACUCGGUCGGGUUGACUCGGUUGGGUUAACUUAGUUGACCUAGUUGGUUUGACCAGUUGACUUUGACAAGUUUGACCUUAAGGAUAUUUUGGGAUUUUAUUUUGAUUGGUCACGUGGAGGAAUAGGUGUCGGUUGGAGCUGAGAUUUGAAGUUGGGACCUCAUCAGCUUCUGUUCAGUUUGUGAGGUGGUUUUCCUCACUAUACUUAUUGGUCAAAUGCACUAAGGACGGACCACUAGUUUGAUAACCUGGUAUUUGAAGAUAUACUGAGUAUGGGAUAGAUAUGCAUGCUAGUUUGAUAUACUAGUUUGGUAGAUCUGUAGGGCUACCUGUGAUACUGUCUGUUUAUCUGUACAUGAUAUUAUUUGUUAUAUGUCGACAUAUUGUGUGGGUUGGGUUGAAGUUGUACUACUCUAUGUUGUAGCCAACAAACCCUGGAGCAUGCCAGAUAUGAGUUGAGGGCCAUGGAGGGCAUGUUAGAAUCAUGCUGAGGGCUCAAUAGCAUUCUAGAAAUGAGCUGAGGACCCGGUUAGUACGCCUGACUUAUACGGAGGGCUUGAAAGUAUUAGAGCAAUCCAAAUAUGAUUUGAGGGCUGGGUAGGGCAUGCGAGACUCAUACCGAGGGCUCGGUAGCAUUCCAGAUACGAGCUGACGACCUGGUUGGUAUGCCAGACUUGUACUGAGGACUGAAGAGCAAGCCAAAUAUGAGUUGUGGGCCUGUUAGGCAAGCCAAACUCAUACUGUGGGCUCAAGGGUAAUCUAGUCCAUAGUUGUGGACCCAAUACAUGUUGUUAUUUAUAUAUGUGAUCUAUUAGUGUACUGGUACUUUGGGGGAACUCACUAAGCUUCAUGCUUACAGUUUCCAUUCAUUGUUUCAGGUGCUUUAGAGGACCGUGACAAGGUGAAGGCGUGACCAUACACAUCCUUGGUUUUACAACUGAUUGGAUCUUGGGUGACUCUGAUUUUAAUUCAUGUUUUGGAAAUGAUGGUUUUGUGAGCACUUUUAUUAGUAAAAGGUUGUUUUGAACAGGUUUAAAUUUGUUGAAAUUUUCGGAAUGUUACAAGUUGGUAUCAGAACCUUGGUUUUAGUGAAUUAGAAGAACAUUCACGUGAAUCAAGUCUCAAACUAAGGAAAAUGGUUUUGAUAACAAUUUUCAAAGUAAAGGUUUAUGAAAAUAACUUUCAAAGUUGCUUUUAAAAUAACCAAAGGAGGAUGUGUUGUGUACCAUCAGUCGGAGUCAGUAAGUUGUCCCCAAGUUACCACACUGUUCCUUGAUAUUGUCAUAUGUUAGGACAACAUGCUAGUGAUAGGCUAGGGAUCUCCAGAAAUUGCAUCAUAGAAUUUCUUGAUUAUAUGAUGCCUGAUAGCCUAGGGUUCUUCUAUAUAUUAAAUUGACAUCAUUACUAUAGUUGCUUAGUGUAUGCAUCAUAGUUGUACAUAACUAAGAUUCAAUAGCCUUAGAAUAUUUGUUUUGGCUUUAUUUCUUGUUCCUUGUUUGGUUGUGGGCUUAUGGGUGGAUCAAGUAUUCGACUGUCUAUAGGAUCUAGUGUUAUGUACGGCUAGUAAAUGCGAGUGUUGCAGGGUUGGUGGAAGUUUCGUGAGUGGGUGCAGUGUAUUGCGAGUCAACGUGAGGAAUGAUUGGCCACUCUUGGGAGACUGAGAGUAGGUCGAAGGUGCAACUAUGAUGAGGGGAGAUGAAGAUCGAGGAUUCCGUAUGAGGAUACGUCCGAUUUUAUUGCAUUUAGUGUCAGACGGUUUCUUUGCUCGAAUGUUGUUUGGUUUGUGCUUUGUCAAACCCAUGUUGAUGAGAGUUAACCACGAAAUGAUUACAUUAAGUUACAUGCUAUGAGGGUUAGGUAAUCUUAGGAUAAAGGACUGGGACAUAUUGUGCAACUCUUGUCUGAGUCCAACCGUUAAAGGGUUGAGUCCUUUAAUCGUGGGAUUAUUUAAGCUUGGUUGCAUGUAAUUGUAUUCGUGAAGUGGUUAGUCGGCAUUGGUAGGGGUUCUUCAGCAGCUAAUGGUAGAGGGGGUGUGGGUGAGUCCUAGGGUAGAAUAGGAAGUAUUUAGUGCGGUUGUUUCGCCGUGGAGUAGGUUUCAGGUGUAUUUUUUGACUAGGACUUAGAAGACGCGAAAUAAUCCUUGAGGAAAGUAUGGAUAAGUGUGGAACGUAGUAUUGGGCCCAUACUACUGGAAGCACAAGAUACAUACCCAAAUCAAGGAAGGUUUCAGGAAUUUUAAGGUCUGGUUAGGGAAGUUAGCAUGGUUAGAUACCAUGUUUCGUGGCAGUGUUUCUGUUCAUAUCGAUCUUUUGGUCAGGACUUCUCAGGCAUACGGAUGGACCUAGUAAGUGAUCUAACCCCUAGUGGUGUUAUUGGUUUGGGUUGUUGGUGCAAACCUAGUGAGCUUUGGUUUGAGGCCUCGUAGGUUUUGCUCUAGGUCAGGUAUUCAAGUCACGAGACUCAAGAAGGGAACGAUGAUUAUGACUGGCUUAGGUUUUACAGUUGGGAUUGGGAUGGUUGAUUGAUGGAUUGGAAUAUCAUUAUCUGUGGCUACGGUCAUGCCCUUGCAGUUUUUUUCCAACUACGGAUAAGGAGUGAACAGGCUCAUAAUUUAUAGAGUUAGGAAGGGUAGUACCUGCUUAAGGUAGUUUGAGUUAUGAUUUGGUUUCAGCACCAGUGGGUGGUAGUUCGAGCCUUAAGUGAGGGAGAACUGGGAUUCCUGAGUUGAGUAGUUUAGCCAUUGAGGAAUUUCCAGUUCAUUUUUUGGAUUUCUGUUUUCGGAUUAGUUGGGCAGAUGUUGAUCAGGGAAUCUUUUUUUGAAAACAAGAAUGUUCAGUUCCAUGUGAGUUUUGAUUCUUUGGAUAAAGUUUCAAUGUGUCCGUGACCGUUGGCCGUGGGGUUUAUCAUUCAUCGUAGUUUCUCUUGAUAGUCUAAUUAUGGCAGCCGAGAUUCAGUGGUAUGGCCAAUCUAUCGUCAAGAUCAGUAUGUUCUAUGUUCUUUGGGCCUUCAGACAUGUUUACCCUCAAGGGUGGGUGGGAACAUGGUUUAUAGUAGACUCAUAUUUUGGAAACCUUUGAGAUCCAUCGAAGUCUUAUCGAGCUAGUUGUGUCGUGGUAGAAUCCGUUCAGCCUUAAACAAUUAUGGGAUUUUGUUUUGACUGCUUGUCACUACUAGAAAAACAUCCUUUUAUGACGCUCAUUGCGCGUCGUAAAACGCUCAGACGACGCGCAAAUGCACGUUAAGAAAGGCCGUGUCAUAAAGAGAGACGACGCGCAUUUAGGACGCGCAUUUACGACGUGCGGUUAUGACACGCAAUGCAUAUCAAGGAAGGCCUGUCAUAAAGGAAGACGACACACAUUUUGCGUGUCGUAACCUUACGACACACGUGUUUAUGACACACAAUGCGUAUCAAGAAAGCCCCAGUCAAGAAAGGCCAUGUCAUAAAUCAAGAUGACACACAGUUCUGCGUAUCAUAAUUUUAAAUGUUCUAAAAAAUAUAUAUAUUUAUAUAUUUAUUAAUUUUUAAAUUAAAUUUGCAUUUAAUGUCUCAUAAUAGAAAUAAAAUAUCAUAUACAAAAAAUACAAUCCAUUGCAUCAAAUUUAAUGCCAUACAAUUCUAUUUCUUACAAUAUCUAAAUUUGCAUCUAAUCUACUUUGUACAUCAAAUUCCAACUAAGUAAAGUUGCAUCUUGUCUUUCAUAAUUCUUUAAGACUAAUGCUCCAAGCAGCUGAUUAUAUGGAUAAGCAGUUGUACAUUGGCCCAUCUCACUCAAGAAUGACUUAGCCAAAUUCAACUCCAAGUCUUUACAGCAUCUUGCUAAUAAUGCUGCAAGAUUUGAAUCAAGUGGCUUCAUAUUCCUUUCUUCCAUCAACUUUACCUGAUGCACAAGAUACACAGAAACAAAAAAAAAUUGUAGAGGAAGGGGUAAUUUGUGAAAAUGUGAGGGGUAUCCUCUGCAAAACAAAACAAAAAAUAUCCUUUGCAAGAUUUGCUCUUUUGUAUCCUCUACAAAACAAAACAAAAAAUAUAUAUCAAAAAAUGAAAUGUUUUAUAGUUUUAUAUUAUAACUAUGCCUAGAGUAUUGCAUGCCUGGAGAACCAUUUUUGCGUAUACUAAUUUUAAAUGUUCUAGCCUGAAAUAUUGACAGAUAAUACCAAUAAAGUGAUGAAGGUAAAAGAAAUAUGUUUUCACUUGAAGUAAGUAAAAGACAGUUGAUGUGAUGUUAUUAAUAUUUUAUAUAUUAAUUAAUUUUCUUAUGAUAGAUUAGCACAACAAGUUUGGAAUAAAUUGAAAACAAGGAGCAAACCAUAAAUCUUACGAAGUAUCUAGUACAGAUACACACUUGAUAAGAUUGACAUAUGUUUCUUAUGAGGUAUCCAUAAUACGAGUGUUUCCUUUUCACUUAAUGCAAAAAGAAUGAAUUAAUAGAAGAAAAAGUAAGGAAUGAUAAAUAACAAAUAGAUAAUAAAUAAUAAUACCUCUCAAACAUGAUGUUACACUUCCAUUAGCCGUGUAGGGGUAAACAAGUAAUCUUUCGGUUGGAGUCAUACAAAAGACCCUUAAUCGAAGGAGAUUUUUGUGUACAACUAUACUAAUCAUCUCAACUUCUAUUUGAAACUGGAGAUCGCCACUUGGCGCCCUCUCUUCUUUCAAUCGUUUUACAGCAACGAGGGACCUGUCUACUAAUCGCCCUUUUAAGACGUUUCCAAAUCUGCCCCUACCCAAUAUUUUCUCAAUUGCUGAAACUAUCUGUUGGCACUUGCAAUUCUGUGGAAAUUUUUUUUAAGUUCUCCUAAAUGAACUUCUAUCCUCUUCAGUUGUACACACAUGUUUUCAAGUCAAUUAAUUGAAUAGGUUUUUUAACCAUUUGAAGAAAAAAAAAACUUUUUUUAAUGACUAACCAAGAAAAUCAAAGGAAAAAUCUUGAGGCUUUAGACGUUGCCACCAUGCAAAUGCAAUAGCAGGGGCAACAAACUACAGUGUCGCCCUAGCCGCCACCUCUCCGGUUAUAGCUCCAGUGACCGGGCCACAAAGAUCCAGGUUUUUCGAAAAACUAAGAGUUUGACAUUUAUCUUGUAUCAGUUAUAUUCUUGAAGAAAAAAAUGAAAUAAGAAUAAGAUUAUUUUAUUAGCAAACAUGAUUUGUGUAAAUAGUGAAAAAAAUCCAUUGUCUGGAGCUGAUCCUAAUAGACGAUUAUUUGAUAAAUCCCUAAAAUGACAAAUUAGAAAAUGAGAAAUAGCACAGAAAAAUGUUAUCUGAAUGAUAAAAUUGUAAUGAAAAUAGCACAUAAACAUCUUGUUUAUUGUGAAAAACGAAAUCCAAUGAUUACCUUCAACUUUCUAGAACACACAGAACAUUACUGUCUUGAGAUAUUUCUUUUGUAGAGCAUCAUACACACCUACAAAAUAACAACUCGUGAAAAAAAUCAAUAAUAAAAACGUAUAAACUCAAGCUCAAAAGCACUACAAAAUGUUUAUGAAUCAGUAUACCUUUCUUCAUCCAGUCAUUUAGUCUUCUGGACACUGCAUCCAUAGGUAUAAAAGAUGACCAACAUAAUCCCACAUAGGUUGUGUUUCCAUGGAUGGGGUUUCUAUUGCAAGUAACUUCAUCUACUAUACACCAACUUCUAAAAGGUUUAUAAACAUGUUUUGUUAGCUGACAUCAUCAUAGAUAAUUUAUAAAGUUUUUUCUGUGAAUAAGUUUAAAUGUGACAUACGUGUUGGUUAGGUCAGCUAUAGGUGAUAGGGUAGAAAUCAAAUUAGUGUCAUAAAUAAAGGUAUAUAUAAUUAAUGAGUAUAGAAAGUAAUAAUAUUGUGCUACAGUAAAAGGUAGAAUAGGAAAAAUCACAAGCUAGAUGACUGACAAAUUUGUGGUGGAGCCCUUGUAAAAUCGUUGUAAGCUAAGUCGUUGCAAUCAUAGCAACACAUUCACGUUUUUUACAGAUAAUAGCAAUGUACUUUUAGUUUUUUUACCAAAGUAAUAGGUAUUAUGAUUUACAUAUUGCUAAUAUUGGUAAAAAGAUAUUAAUGUGCAUCACUUAUAGUGGCAAAAAAGAGUAAAGUAUGUUGCUAUUUCGUGCAAUUUGGCGUAAUGGUAAUAAUAAUUAAGGGGUAUCAAACUUACAUCUUGACAUUGUUGCGAGUAAAUAUCAACUCUGGAAUUUCUCUGAAUAGUAAGUUGUUAUUCAGAAACCUACAUUCAUGGACAAUAUUCAAUAUCAGAAUUUAAAUCAAAAUAAAAAUAGGAAAUAUAACUAUAACAUCUUAUGAAGUAGAUGCAUAUAAGGCAUUAAAAUCGCAUCUCCAAAUGGAAGGGGGUACUAAACCACUCAGUCGAUUGAAGCUCAAGUCUCUACAAAUAAAAUAAAAUAAAAUAAAAAGUCAGACAAAAUGCUCAUUAAAUUUAAAUAAUAAAUUAAAAAAAAUCAGACUUACACAUAUUUUAAAGUGUCACUGUUCUGUUCAAUGUAUGGAGGUUUUAUGGUUACAUCUUUGCUCGUCUCAUUUGUUCUACCUUUGUAGUGCUUCAAAAAAAAAAAUAUCUUCGGGGCCUUUCUGUAAAUUUGAGCUACAAUGUCCAUCAGUAAUUGUCCAAAUUCGAGCGGUCCAAACCUAAAUACAUAAAUUCAAUUUAUAAUCUAUAAUUUUGGCCUAUAUACUAUACUAUUUUAGGUAAAAAUAAUAAAAAUAUCAUCAUAUAGGCACCUAGAUGCCAAAAGAGAGCCAACUGGAAUCAAUGCGAAUACAGAAAUCUGAUAUAAUGGUUUAAAGAGUUAUAUUAGUUUAAUAUAAACCAUGAAAACUGUUCUCGUAGCAUUUCAAAAGUACUCUUUUUUUCACUAUUAUCAGUAAAAAAAAUUAUUUUUAAGACCCUGUAUCAAAAUGAGAUUAUAUAAGAUGUUAAGAAUUUACAUAGACCUUAGAAUUAUGACCUUCUAAAAUUUUCAUAUCAGAGCACAAAACUCAAGAUAAUAGAAGGCAAAGCUAUUGAGCCUUGUUAAUCUCCAUUGGUUUUAAGGGUGCACAAACCGGGUUUUUUUUUCAAAACCAGAUCAGUUUAGGUCAACUAAGUGAACACUUGUUCAAGGCUAAACCAAUUCGAUUCUAAACCGGUUCGUCAAUAAAAAUAUGUGAAUUUUGCAAAUGGGUUCGGAAGUAAACUUGUUCUUCAAACCGGUUUAAAAAAAGUGGCGGAUUGGGCUUUUGACUAUUGUUUUUGGCUAGCUUGGGCUGUCUUUGUUGUGGAUUUGUUUUUUUGUUUUUGUGAAUUAGCUCAAAAUGAAUGAAUUCACAUUUAAUAAAAAAAAAAAAGAAACAGUAGGUGUUGUGCACUUGUGUGUAUAUGUGAAUUGAAUUGAGAAGGUUGAAAUAAGACAUGGUCGGAGAUGUGUUGGUUGUAGUGUAGUUGUGUGGUAUUCAAGAAACUCUACCAAGCUAGUGAUAUAAGCUAAAAAGUUGAAACUAGAAAAUGCAUGCUUGUAAUAUAAUAAUGAAAGAAAACAAGUUACAACAAAUGAAAAGUUACUGCAACACGCCAACACCUCCUACUCUAGCUAUUUUAUCUAUUUAAAUAAUAAACCAUACCCACCUUUUGUCACACCCCGAAACCGAUGGCGGAAACGUUCAGGGGCGGAGGACGUCAUGAAUAUGGCAACCAAUGUACAUACUAAGCGUAGUAACACAAAACAUUACAUUACAUAGAAUUAUUACAUUUUUUUGAAAUCAAAGUAUUACAAGUGUCAUANAAGUAAAUUGUACAAGUUAUAUAUAUAUAUAUCAUAUGAACAAAAGUUGAGACAAGUCUGAUAAGUGCUCCGUCUUCUCCAAAAGAUCGUGGGGUAUGUAAACCUGAGAAUACAAGCAGUUUGAAAAUCAGCAUAAAGCUGGUGAGUUCAUCAGAGGUUUGUUUUCUGAAAAUGUACAAGUUUCCUUUGGUUUUCUGAAAAAGUUUGUUAUCCAAGAAAAUCCCAUAUUUUCUUAUAAGUAUAGUUUAGUUAUUCGUUUGUUAUACGAUCCGGUUAUGUACAGUUUGUUAUCCUAGGAAAAACCCUUAUUUUCCUUAAAAGUGUAUAGUUGGUUAUCGGUUUCUGAAAGUAAUGUGCAAGAAUCUUCCAUACUUAAAGUGUUUGUGUAAAGUUUCCUGAAAGUCUAGUUAUCCCUCAAAAUUACAUUAGUUUUAACACGUAUAUAAAACUAAUAAGUAAGUAUAAAAGUAUUCAUAAUCUUGAUUGCGAGGUCCAUAACCAUACUACAGACUAGAUAAGGCUCAGAAUGGGGCCAGUAUCUUUAUAUGACUUUUGUCACCCUUGAACCUUUCGGUUCGGCUGUAGCUAGCAGCCAUGUGUGGGAUAGUCAAUCCCGUAUAGAUCUACACACUCAAGUCAUGUUCUCCCUCCAAGCGAUUCUGGUUACGGGGGUAGUCCUACACUCUCAUAACUAGGGGGAGUGUUACAAGGACGUGUCUCCAGUCUUAAGAUUAAUGAAUUCAAAGAUAAUAAAACGGGAUAUUCUCUUUAUUUAGUCCUUCACUCUCAUAACUAGGGGGAGUGUUAUCAAGGACUUGUCUAAAGUUCUACGUUUAAUGUUAUUGGUCCUUCACUCUCGUAUCUAGGGGGAGUCUUAUCAAGGACGGUUCUAAUAUUCUAAGUUUUAAUGUUGUUAGUCCUUCACUCUCGUAUCUACGGGGAGUGUUAUUAAGGACGGUUCUAAUAUUCUAAGUUUUAAUGUUAUUGGUCCUGCACUCUCGUAUCUAGGGGGAGUGUUAUCAAGGAAGGUUUUAAUAUUCUAUGUUUUAAUAUUAUUGGUCCUUCACUCUCGUAUCUAGGGGGAGUGUUAUCAAGGACGGUUCUAAUAUUCUAUGUUUUAAAGUUAUUAGUCCUUCACUCUCGUAUCUAUGGGGAGUGUUAUCAAGGACGUCUUAAAGUUCUAAGGUUAAUACAUUUAACAGUAAUGAUGUGGAAAUACAUUUGUGAAAUAUAAAAUAUAACAUUUUAAAACGAGUUUCACAAAUAACAUGACGGUUUACUCUGCAAGUUGAACGAUUGGUUAAUAUAGUUUUCCGUGUUAAAAUCAUACGAAAUAUGAAAUAGAUCAAAUGAAAUCAUAAGUUUGAAUACAAGAUUUCCUUGUACUUUUGCUUGUAUUCCCCUCUGAAAACAUUGAAAACAUGGAAAAACGUAGGGGUAUGAACUCACCGAUCGAAGAAUGUGCCUAAUUGGAUGCUAAACGUUAGUUCGGGGCUUGAACGCAUGCGAGGUUCCUAUGUAAUAUGAAAAGAUACACAUUUGUAUCUAAUUAGGCUUUGUACUACUAAUUAGCUGAUUAUAUACACUUCUAAUCGCGAAAACACUUCAUUACAUGUGUUUGGAGUGACUCGGGUAACAUCUAUGGACGUAUAGGGCUUGGAUAUGGAGUUUACUCUUCAAGAGUAAACUCCCAAGAGAGUUUACGGCCCUAAUGACCCACUCCCCAUGAGUUUACGGCCGUAAACUCAUGGUGGAGUGUUCUAGGGUGCUAAAUGGCCAUAUAACAUUUGAGGGGUGAUGCUAGUUUUGGUUUUAAGGCAUUGGAAGUGUUUAACCCAACAUAUGGACCAUUAUAAAGAGUUUAUGGUAGUAAACUAAGAGUUUACGGCUGUAAGCUCCCCCACACACCUUCCUUUGAUGUUUUGGUGGUCCUAGGUCAUUUACAAGUGUUUCUAGGAGUUCACGGCCCAGGACCCAUCCUUGGGGGGGGGGGUUACGACCAUAAGCUUCUAUGGGGUAGUUUUCAUCAAGUUUAAGGCCUCUAACUCAUUUAUGGUUGCUUCUAGAGUUUAUUCCAAGGCUUAUGAGGUGUGUAAGUGGCAUUUUAACACCUUAAAAGGAGUUUACUACCCACGAAAGGGUGUUUACGGUCCAAGCAUGUGCUUGGGCUGUAAACUAAUGUUUAUACCCUAAAUGAUGAGUUCAAGGUGUUCUAAGUCCAGUUUGGUAAGCCCCUAAGUCAUAUCUAAGCUCCAAAUGUGGUUUGGAAGGGUUUUUGGGCUCCAAAACCCCAUUUAAGUGUGUUUAUGGUUUGGGGCUGUUCUGGGGCCGUAAACUCAUUCUAAUGGUCCUAUUUCAUAGAUUAACCACGAAUUUGAAGGCUAAAGAUGUUAUACUAGGAGCUAGGAUAGUUACCUUGAUGAUUUGGAGCUUGAAAUGAGUGAUUUUGGAUCAAGAACUUGGAUUUGAAGAGAGAGGUUAGAGAGAGAGAGUGGAAAAGGCUUCAAAUGAGGCUCUCACAACUUUAUAUAUGGUUAAAAUUUGGGACACGAUGGAAUUCUACCCGAUACGGAUGUUAAGCGAGGCUUUUGGUCGCACCCGAUUAAGUUGUCGGAACCCGAUAUGGUCGAAACUAAAAAUUUUCUAAAUAAUAGUUUGGGAUGUUUUCAUGAGUUUCUAACGUGUUUGAAUACCAAUUAAGUCAUAAUGGAAGUCUUAAAAAUAAUGACUUAAUUUAAAACCUUAAACGGAAACAAUUCGAAAAAGAUGAAUUUUAUGGACGGAAAUGGGUUACGACGAUGGAGCAAACUUCGGGUUGUCACAUUAUCCCCCCGUUAGAGGGAAUUUUGUCCCAAAAUUCAAACUUUAGAUACGACUCAAGGAUUUGGAAAGAGAUACGGAUACUUCUGUUUCAUCGGAUCAUCACGCUCCCAAGUGAACUCAGAUCCUUCACUUAUCGGGAUACGACUUUGUUUCGUAUGUUUAAAUCUCUUGAUCUAUGAUUUCGAUUGGUUCUUCCAUGGGGUUCAGACUUUCGUUGAUUUCGAUCUCAUCAAGGGAAUUACUAAGGUUUCGUCGAAUAGGCACUUCUUAAGGAAAGAGACGUGGAAUACUGAAUGGAGGCUGCUAAGUUCUGAAGGUAAUCGGAGUUUGUAAGCUACGAGAUCGAUCCUAACGAGGAUUUCGAAAGGUCCUAUGUACAUUGGGUUAAGUUUUCUGUGUCUUCCAAAGCAUAUCAUGUCCUUUCUAGGGCUAGACCUAAGGAUUUACAGAAUUCUCUGAGUGUCUUCGGUGCUGACUAAUUUUCUAUCGCCUGCGUCUUGGACAGGUCCACGUGUAUGCCUUCCUAGCUUACCAUGUGACCAGGGUUUGACUACGAGGCUAGCUCCAGGAAUUUUGUCGAUGCGAACUCGACUUGAUGUUCUGGAGGAAUUCCUAGAAGCUCUUCGGGAAAGACACCAGGAAAUAUUGCAGACUUCAGGGAUGCAACUACCCAUUUCUCGAUGGUCACAUAGGCUAGGAACUAAGUUUAUCGCUAAUUCUCUCUUUCUCACCGUUAGCUAUUUCGACGGUAGGCAUUUCGGUUACUAAUGAAGGACUAAGAUUAAGAUGAUGUUCGAAUGAAUAGAUAAUAGAUUCUCUUUCAACAAUAUAAUCGAAAUGGAUUGCAGCUAUAAGGGCUGUCGAGGAGGAAUAUACUGUUGGAUUAAUGUCUAAGUCCAUAACUAUAAUUGGUAAGACUUGACCCGACCCGGCAUGAUCCAUUUGGGUUGCAUGGCAUCAUGCACUUGGAUAGACUAAAAUGAGAGAAAUAACACUUAAAGUUUAUUAAUAUAUUAUAAGUUCUAAUAUAUUAAUAUGAUUAUUUAAUUAGUAUUGAUCAAUAAUUGAUUUAGAAUUAAUUAUGUGAUCAAAAGAAGACUAAUUAAAUAUAUAGGUUGAUUGUGUAAAUCACCUAUACUUAUAUAGUGGCUUAAUGCUCCAUGGAUUAUCAAGUUGGGCUCAAACCCAUUGGAUGCUCCAUGGUGUAUUUGAACCCAUGGAUCCAAGGAAAUGGAAAGCCACGACAAUUAGGGUUUACCCUAAGUGUAACAACUAUAUAAGCAUCUUAUUGAUGUGAGAAAUCGGCCACUAGAUAUGCAUGGAGGGCAAGCCGAUUCUUGAAGUGUUGUAAUUUCUCUCUAAGUUAUUCCAAGUGCUUAUGGUGUUGUGUGAACCAUUUGAGGUGUCACACUUGGGGCACUAGGCACUCAAGCUUAAUGAAGACAAGCACCAACAAAAGGUAUGUUAUUCUAACUUGUGUUAUUCAAAGUUUUGUAUGCUAGAAUAGAACAAUACCUUGGAAAGUUGAUAUUUGCAUGUAUAAUAGAGAAAACAUAGAUCCAAGGUAUUUAGGGUUGCAUGUACACUUAGGAGUGUUAGAUUUCUCAAAACCCAACAUAUACUUGUGGCAAUGGUGGGAUCGGCGGCUGCCUCAUCUUGUCCUAUAGCUAGGACUCUUCCAGUAUUGCCAGUUGUUGUUGUCUUCGGGCAGUUUCGCUUGAAAUGCCCGACUUCACUACAACCGUAGCAGGUCGGACUAAUUCCUGCUCCGGAAGCUUGAUUGGUUGAUUGGGUUGGUGUCUUACAAUUUUUCGCAGUGUGACCCUUUUUGCCACAGUUGUUACAAAACACCUCUCGACAUGGGCUGGAAGUGAGGUGAUGAUAGUUGCACUUGUUGCAUAGAGGGAGGGUACCAACAUACCUACUGGUAGGAGUUUGAGCCGUGGAUCCGACUGUAGAGACAACAGCAGGGGCAGUAGCAGCACGGACUGCCACCAUUUGCUGCAUCUUCGAGGACUCCUGAGAAAGCUAACUCUUUUUCUUUUUCCAAGAUUUUCUUUUCUCACCACUCCUCUCUGUCGGCUCAGGAGUGGUGGCUGCUUCCUCUAGGUCAUCGCUGUGGUCAAUUAGAGUUUGGGCUAGGCUUUUGGCGCUUUCGUAUGUGUCUGGCUUCGCAGCCAAGACAUUUCCCUUGGUUGGCUGGGUCAACCCCCAGAUAAACCUCUCAACCUUUUUACUCUCCGGGGUAACCAUUCCCGGACAAAGUAGUGCCAAGUCAUAAAAUCUUGAAGUGUAAGUGAUGAUAUCGGAACCCUUCAUUUUCAGGUUCCAUAGUUCAUGUUCUAGCUUCUGCAUUUCACCCCGAGGGCAGUACUCCGCAAGCAGAAGUUCCUUCAUGGCCUCCCAACCCAUGGCGUUGGCUACAGGUAGGGUUAGGGAUUUGACUCGGCCGUUCCACCAAAUCAGGGCUUUAUCGGUGAACGUGCAGGCAGCGAACUUCACCUUAUCUGAUUCAGAGCAGGCACACAUUUCAAAAAUAGAUUCGAUUUUUCGAACCAUUAGGUUAGGGCAAUGACACCUCCAGUGCCAUCGAAAGAUGUGGGUUUUGCGUUCAUAAAAUCCUUAUAGGAACACUCUUUUCAGUGUCCCUGGCUACCUUCUUGGUUUUGGGGCUGGGGACCACCUCCUAAACCACCGGGGUUCAUUUGAGACAUGGCGGNGCAGUAACAGCUACCUAGAACAUUACAAGAUCAAAUUGGGGAGGAGGUGGUGGCGGAGGGUUGUUGUUCUUUGAGUUGGGUCUCUUUCUUGGAGGCAUCUUGAUCUAAAAAGAUCAGGAAAGAGAGGAUGGUAAGUCCUCUGAAUUGAAUCAAGAGAUAUGAUACAAGGGAUAUCUCAUUAUGACAGAUAUAGAAUUCUAUUAAGCGAUAAAGCAGGAAAGAGUUGUCAAAGCAGAUAAACUAUCGCUAAAGGAAUGAUUGAGGAGCAAUGCUGGAAUGAGGAUUUCUAUAACGGAUUUGGCUCGAGAAAUACUCCCAUAGUAUUUCAUGAUUCGCUAUGAAGACGGCUCGUUGUUUGGGUAUUGGGUAAGUUUUAGGCAUGCUGAACACUACAGUCACUCCCAAGCACAUGUUGUCCGUGUCUCGAAUGAAUAUAGUUGAUCAGGCUAUAUUGACCCUAGAUACGACUACAUAACUGCUCAGGUUUAACCGCAACAUCCAACACCCAUUUACUUAUCUUUUGUUCUACUCGUAGUUACGGAUUUCGACGGUUAGGUAUACUUGUAUACUUUUGAAAAUACUUAUAUUUUAAAGUAUACUUUUAGUUCAGAGCACUUAGGCCCCUUAAUGUUUAUAGUCUUAUACCAUGUAAGGUUUGGUAUACUAGUUCACUAUAAACAAGGGCUCUCAUACCAAUCUGUCACACCUCGAAAAAGAUGGCGGAAACGUUCCGGGGCGAGGACGUCAUGAAUAUCGCAACCAAUGUACAUAGUAAGUGUAGUAAACACAAAACAUUACAUUACAUAGAAUUAUUACAUUUGUUUGAAAUCAAAGUAUUAGAAGUGUCAUACAUAUAUAUCAUAUGAACAAAAGUUGAGACGAGUCUGAUAAGUGCUCCGUCUUCUCCAAAAGUUCGCGGGGUACCUGUCUAACGUAAACCUAAGAAUACAAGCAGUUUGAAAAUCAGCAUAAAGCUGGUGACUUCAUAAGAGGUUUGUUUUCUGAAAAUGUACAAGUUUCCUUUGGUUUUCUGAAAAAGUUUGUUAUCCAAGAAAAUCCCAUAUUUUCUUAUAAGUAUAGUUUAUUUAUCCGUUUGUUAUACGAUCCGGUUAUGUACAAUUUUUUAUCCCAGGAAAAACCCUUAUUUUCCUUAAAAGUUUAUAGUUGGUUAUCGGUUUCUGAAAGUAAUGUGCAAGAAUCUUCCAUACUUAAAGUGUUUGAGUAACAUUUUCUGAAAGCCUGUUUGUCCCUGAAAAGUACAUUAGUUUUAACACGUCUAUAAAACUAAUAAGUAAGUAUAAAAGUAUUCAUAAUCUUGAUUGCGAGUUGCAUAACCAGGUGUGGGAUAGUCAAUCCCGUAUAGAUCUAUACACUCAAGUCACAUUCUCCCUCCAAGAGAUUCUAGUUACGGGGGUAGUCCUACACUCUCAUAACUAGGGAAAGUGUUACAAGGACGUGUCUUUAAUCUUAAGAUUAAUGAAUUAAAAGAUAAUAAAAAAGGAAAUUCUAUUUAUUUAGUCCUUCACUCUCGUAACUGGUGGGAAUGUUAUCAAGGACUUGUCUAGAGUUCUAAGUUUAAUGUUAUUGGUCCUUCACUCUCGUAUCUAGGGGGAGUCUUAUCAAGGAUGGUUCUAAUAUUCUAAGUUUUAAUGUUAUUAGUCCAUCACUCUCGUAUCUACAGGGAGUUUUAUCAAGGACGGUUCUAAUAUUCUAAGUUUUAAUGUUAUUGGUCAUUCACUCUCAUAUGUUGGGGCAGUGUUAUCAAGGUUGGUUCUAAUAUUCUAAGUGUUAAUGUUAUUAGUCCUUCACUCUCGUAUCUAUGGGGAGUGUUAUCAAGGACGUCUUAAGGUUCUAAGGUUAAUACUUUUAACAAUAAUGAUGUGGAAAUACAUUUGUGAAAUAUAAAAUAUAGCAUUUUAAAACGAGUUUCACAAAUAACAUGAUGGUUUACUCUGCAAGUUGAAGGAUUGGUUAAUACAAUUUUCUGUGUUAAAAGCAUACGAAAUAUGAAAUAGAUAAAAUAAAGUCAUAAGUUUGAGUACAAAAUUUCCUUGUACUUUUGCUUGUAUUCCCCCCUAAAAACAUUGAAAACAUGGAAAAACGUAGGGGUAUGAACUCACAAAUCGAAGAAUGUGCCUGAUUGGAUGCUAACGUCAGUUCGGGGCUUGAACGCAUGCAAGGUUCCUAUGUAAUAUGAAAAGAUACACAUUUGUAUCUGAUUAGGCUUUGUACUACUAAUUAGUUGAUGAUAUACACUUCUAAUCACGAAAACACUUCAUUACAAGUGUUUGGAGUGACCCUGGUGACAUCUAUGGACGUAUAUGGCUUGGAUAUUGAGUUUACUCUUCAAGAGUAAACUCCCUAGAGAGUUUACGGCCCUAAUGACCCACUCCCCAUGAUUUUACGGCCGUAAACUCAUGGUGGGGUGUUUUAGAGUGCUAAAUGGCGUUAUAACAUUUGAGGGGUGAUGCUAGUUUUGGUUUUAAGGCAUUGGAAGUGUUUAACCCAACAUAUGGAACAUUAUAAGGAGUUUACGGCAGUAAACUAAGAGUUUACGGACGUAAGCUCCCCCACACGCCUUCCUUUGAUGUUUUGGUGGUCCUAGGUCAUUUACAAGUGUUUCUAGCUAAAUCUACAAGCCAUGGAAUGAAUUUAAGGCACCGUUUGACUAAGUUAUAGGAGUUUAUGGCCCAGGAACCAUCCUUGGGGGGAUUUACAGUCAUAAGAUCCUAUGGGGGCAGUUUUCAUCAAGUUUAAGGCAUCUAACUUGUUUGUGGUUGCUUCUAGACUUUAUUCCAAGGCUUAUGAGGUGUGUAAGUGGCAUUUUAACACCUUAAAAGGAGUUUACUACCCAUAAAAGGGUGUUUACGGUCCAAGCAUGUGAUUGGGCUGUAAACUCAUGUUUAUACCCUAAAUGAUGAGUUCAAGGUAUUCUAAGUCCAGUUUGGUAAGCCCCUAACUCAUAUCUAAGCUCCAAAUGUGGUUUGGAAGGGUUUUUGGGCUCCAAAACCCAUUUUAUGUGAGUUCACAGCCUAGGACUGUUCUAGGGCCGUAAACUCAUGCUAAUGGUCCUAUUUCAUAGAUUAACCACGAAUUUGAAGGCUAAAGAUGUUAUACCAGGAGCUAGGAUAGUUACCUUGAUGAUUUGGAGCUUGAAAUAAGUGAUUUUGGAUCAAGAACUUGGAUUUGAAGAGAGAGGUUAUAGAGAGAGUGGAAAAGGCUUCAAAUGAGGCUCUCUUAACUUUAUAUAUGGUUAAAGUUUGGGACACGGUUGAAUUCUACCCGAUACUUGUAACGCCUGUGUUUCUGGGCUUGUCAUUAAUGUUGAUAUAAUAGUCUCGGUUAACCUUUGUAACCCGUUUUGAAAUAAUAGAAGUGUAUUAUUUGAGUAUUAUGUGUUAUGUGCUUAAUUGUGUGUCUUAAUUUAAUUAAGAAUAAAAAUAAGCGUCAAAAUGAAAUGUUAGAUAAAGCCGAUAUCUAUGGAUAAUGUUGUAGUAGUUGAAACGAGGUUUCCGAAUAUAUAAAGAAUGCCGAAAUCCGAGUUAUAACGAAGAAGUUAUGACCUGUCGAAGUUUCGCGACAGAACCGACAACGCUGAAUGACGUAAAAAUUGAAAUUUACGUUAGUGCAAUAUUUAGCCUUAGUUAUCUAAUUUAGAGCUCCUUAAACCGAGAGUGUGUAUGAAAAGAACGCUCAAAUCUGACUUCGUAUGAGGAAGUUAUGAUUUUUCGAAGUUUGGACUUAGCAGUAUGCAGCCCGAAUACUCAAANCUAAAAACUCAAAAUAGAGAUCGAGUGAUAUUUAGCCAAAAAUUUCUAAAUGAGAAUUGAAGAUCUCAUUGAUAGUAGUCCAACGAUAAAAAGACAGAUGAAAACGGAGUUCAGAUGAAGGAGUUAUGAAUUUCGAACAGAGUUUUCCUGUCCCGGCCUACAAAAAAUAAUAUAUAAGCAAGAUACUUAUAAUAUAUUACAAAUAAAUUCAAAAUUAGCCAAUGAAGUCUAAACGAGAGUUGUAGAUCAUAAUCUCACCUUCGCGUCGAUAUAAAGAACGUCGAAAACGGAGUUCGUAUGCGAAAGUUAUGAAUUUCUGAAGUUCGGGGCGCGAAACCCCAAAACUGUUAGAGCCCACGACGUGGACCAAGGUUGCCACGACGUGGCAAGUGUCCUGACACCUCCGGGAGGCCCCCAGAUGCAACUUGGGAUGACGCAUGCAGUGACGACCAAGCCCACGACGUGGAACAAGGUUGCCACGACGUGGCAAGGGCCAAAUUUGCCCUAUAAAUAGAUUUGAAGGGCCAGCCGUUUAGGGUUGCUAUUUUCUCUCUUCUCUCUCCCGUUUUGCAUCGAUUUGCGUGCCAGAAAUACCCCGAAGCCCCGGUAUUGUUCUCGAGCCCCGAGGCAAGUCCCGAGAUCCCGAAGAUCCCGAGAAGUGCGGUUCCCGAGCCGAAGCUCUGCCCGCGAGAAGUUCGAUUUUUGUGGAGAUCUUCCAGAUCUGCUGUGGAUUACUACUUCUGCAAGUCGUAGUGCUGUCCGAUCAUCUUCUGAUCAAGUGAGUGUAUACUACCUUUCAUAAACACGAUAAUAAUACAAGUAUGGUUUGAGUGUAUUAAGUAUAUUGUGGUUUAUAUGUGUGAGUGUGUGGUUACUUUCUUCUAACACAUAANNNNNNNNNNNNNNNNNNNNNNNNNNNNNNNNNNNNNNNNNNNNNNNNNNNNNNNNNNNNNNNNNNNNNNNNNNNNNNNNNNNNNNNNNNNNNNNNNNNNNNNNNNNNNNNNNNNNNNNNNNNNNNNNNNNNNNNNNNNNNNNNNNNNNCCAGUGGAACGCUAGCAGGUUCAUAACCUGUAGGUGUUGUGAACGAUGUGUUCACCGGUGUACUCUAUCCCCCUCAUGGUUGCCUUUAGGAUAUCUAUUGUUGAGGAAACCCCUUAGCAGUAAUGUCCAUCCCGAUGAAAAUCCUAGAUGAGGUCCCUUGAGAUAGAUGUUGUUUUAGGGACGUAAAGUAAGGAUAACGGGAACGGGUAAUCGGGAUAGUGUUGGUUGGUGAAAUUAAAUAUAAUUUAUUUAUUGUGGGUUGAAAACCCUAUAUGCUCACCAGGCUCCCAAGCCUGACCCACUCAAUUUUAUUUGUAUUACAGGAAGUGGCGCAAGGGCAUAAGAUGGAUU
rnacentral:lncRNA from 1 species